AGUGCUUUAUGGAAGGGUAAGCCAGGAAAGUUGAGUGGCAGAGUGAGGAACGCAAGUGCAAUAUUCUCAUUCAAAGUCUCCAUUUCUCCUAUAGAAGUGCUUUUUAUUGGAGUUGAACCCAUAAAAAUGUUCCAAAUAACUUUGAAGGUAAGUUGCUUUAUCGUGGUUAAUAAUUCCAAUGGCUUCUUCAUGCUUGACCAUUCCUCCAACCCACUAAUCACAGAGUGUUCAAUAUGAUCAAUGUACAUCUCGAGCGCUGCAUGGCCACUGAUCGGUGCCAUUGUCAGCCGUCGGAGCUUCCGAUGCUCCUCUUUCGGUACUUGAAGCAGUGAUUUUUUACCAAAUACGGCUGUGAUGGAUGUAGGAUAACUAGGAAUGAACUUGGUUUCAUCAGUUAAUACUUGACGACAUAUUUCAGGUUUGCAGACGAUUAUAGUUGGUUUUCCAAAUAUGUGAGUCUUGUACAUAUCAAGUUUCCCAUAUCUAAUCAAAGAAGAAGAAAAGGAAAAAUAAAUUAUUAGUAACUUGGGUUAUGUAACUACUUGAAAGCACGUGAAAUCUCGUAGUUUUAUUUUAGAAGAACUUAAAACAUACCAUAAGUUUAACAUCAAAUUAAUAUUCUAUAGUUUUACUUUAUAGUGUAAAAGUUUUUAUUUCAGUAUGCAUUUUCAUUAAAAAAAAGUUUAUAAUAUGGUACAAACUAAAAGAUUACGAUGGUCAUUAGUAUAUUAAUAUAUUAAAAUUCUAGUAAUGUUUUCAACAUUUGGUAAUAUUUUAGCGUAAUGUCGUAACAAUUUUAAUUUUAAUUGUGGAUCAAUAUUUUAUUGAUUUAGAUAUUAUUAUGUAUAUAUUACAUUAAAAUAACCAAUGGAUAAAUAGGCCACUUAUAUAAAGAAAAGUGAUUAAACCUAAAUUGUAAAAUUUACAUUAAUAUUAAUAAUAUUCUCACAUGUCUAUCAUAUGUAUCGAAGUUACUAUCAUACAUAAAAGAAUAAUUUUUUUUUUGUCGAUAUUAGAAGAUAAAAAAAAAUUAUGUUGGAUGUUUGAAAAUUAUAUUUUAAAAAGGAAAAGGAGAGAAGUUAUAGAAAAUUUAUUGUAAUUAAAUGAUAAAACUUUUUAAAAUAUUAGAAUCCUUAAAUAAUAAACAUUGAUAUUCAUGUUUAUAUAUAAUGUUUCUAAAAAUGUUGAGAGUUUAAUUAUUUAAUAUCAUGUCAAUUACGUAUCAAUUUGUUUUGCACAUGUUUUCAAAAUCAAAAUCAGGUUCGACAACUAAAAGUUAUCACAAAAAGAAAAGAAAACUAUUAGUUGGAGAUUUUGGCUGUUAGAAUUAUAUGACAAAGAAUAUUCUUGAGAAAGAUGAAACUAUCAUGACAAUAAGAGAUAUGGAAGAAAACAUUAAAAAAAUUCAAAAAUCUCCAAAACCAAAUAACACAUUUGACUAACUAUUACAAAUUUUUUGCUGUUGAUGUCUUUAUAGUGAGUUCCACGAUCUCUUCUAAUGAAUCUUCUCGCACGUAGUCAUUUGAUUUUUGAAAAUUAAACUUAUAUUUACUGAAAAUUAAAUAGGGCAAGAGAUCAGUGAGAUAUACCUUCUUGAGAAGUCACCAAUGAAACGUUCUGGUGGACCAAAAGUGAAAUAUUUGAGAAAUGAUAGAGUAGAACCAAUAAGUGGCCAAGAUAGAUCACCAGGAGGAAGUUCAUCCCAUUUCUUCCCUAAUUUCAGUGCAUAAUACAAAUUAUUCAAUCUCUUCAAAACCCCAAACCCUAAAACAAAACCCAAGAAAGGAACAAUCAACGACAACCAAUUUAUCAUCAAUUCCAUUGAAAAAAUGAUUUUUCUCUACUUAACCACAAUAGCUUUAUGCAUUCGCUGAUCAAUAUAUUUCACUUAUUCAGUAAUCAAUUUUCUUUACCCCUCAUCUGAUCUCUUACCCUAUUUAUAUUAAACUGCCUUGGUGUUUGAAUAGUGACUUGAAUUAAAUUAAAUGUACUCUCUUUCUUCUCUCUUUGGGUUAAUGAUUCACCAUUUUUCAGUUGGAUGUGCAGACUCACACAUUAACUACUACCUUCAUCAUUGGUAGGAGAUAGGUCAUUAACGUUAUUGAACCAAAAGUCAAAUCAAGAGUUUAUGUUCAAAAUGUACAAUAACAUACCAUAUUGUUUGAAUGUCUGGCGGAAGGUCGUUCUCUAAUGAUUUCAAUUAUGUAUCAUUUAGACCUAAUUUUAAAAGUGAUUUAUAUAUAUUUACUUUUAGCCUCAAGUUUUUAGUAAAUUGUGUUCGAUCUUUAUUUCAUAUGUAACGCCCUAGGUCCAGGAUUCGGAAUUCGGAUCCCUGACAUUUUUCUGCGACUUGGUAACAUCAUCCUUACAUGUCCUAAAGACUUAUUAAAGUGAAAGUCAUCCCCACAGUAAAAAGAAUUAAAAAGAGGCCCUGACACUUUGACGUGGAAGCAUAAUAGUGAUAGUAAAUGCAACAUUGCCUUGUUUAAUUAGAAAGCUAUUCAUAUCGUGGAGCCAAGAGAUGAAGUAACUAUAAACCCAAAGACCUUAAAAAACCUAUGGAAAUCGAGCAUUAAAAAAAAAUGUAGAUUUUUUAUUUCGUCUCUCAUUUAUGAUUGCAUUAACACAGCUAACAAGCUUCAAAGAAGACUCCCUUGUACACAUCUCAACCCAUAUUGGUUCAUUCUAUGUAAAGCUCACUCGGGAGGAUAUAAAUCACAUAUUCAUCUCAUGUUCCACUUCCCGAAAUCUAUGGGUUCAAGUUUAGACCCUUGUAAAUUGGCGAAAUAACCAUUAGAAGAAUGUGGUCUCUCUCUGUAUUGAACUUUGCCUCAUCAAACAAAAGAAUAGACAAGGCCCCAUCAUCUUCAACACUAUAGCAGUUGUUCUUUGGUCUAUUUGCCCGAAAAGAAAUAAUAGAAUUUUCGAAGAUCAUGAAAAACGAUCAUUGAGCUUUGGGAAGACAUUCGUGCUCUGAUAACUCGACUAAUAGAUCAUCUGCACUUAUUUGUUAACUAUGUCACUACAGCUUUAUAUCUUCAUGCCAUUGUCUAAUUAUAUUGAUUGUGGUGUCUCCUGUAUUAUUGGGACAUCUCUAGCCCUCUUUUAUGUUGAUUUCAUGCUUUUUGUAUUAAAAUUUUUAUUAUUAUGAAUGAAGUGAGAAUGAUGUAGAAGUGUUAAGGAGGUGUUUAUCAAGCACAGAUGCACGUGUUUGAUCCAAUCAUUUCUCUUUAAAAAGCCAAAGACAAAUUACAUUGUUACGGCAAAAGAAAAUUUAUUAAAUUGUUUUAAGACUCAUUUAAAGUACUUUAUUAAAUUGCGUACUCCUUUGCGUACUCCUAUACUAAGAAUCAAUUUAACAUUUAAUCGAUUUAUGGCUCGCCUAACUUUCCAUAGCUAUUGUCUUCUCACCUCAUUAAGGUCAAUAAAUUUUCAUUUAAUAUGAUUGGUAAAGUAGUAAAAAAGAAAUAAAUUAAAACGUUUUAUUUCUUUUUUGUUUGAAGUUGUUCAAUUUUAAUGCUUGUUUAUUCAAUAAAUAUUAUAUUUUAUCAAAGUUUUUUAGAUAAAAUUAUUAAAAUAUAAUGAUAAAUUUAAUGCAAGAAUACAUUUUGAAAAACUAUAGUUGAACAAAGAUAAUAGUUCAUAAAAAGUUUUUGAGAAAAAAAACAAUAGACUAAUGAUUGAGCCUAAGUUUAAGAUAUAUUCAAGAUGUCAAUUAUAUUUUUUUAAUGAGAAAUUAAAUUGACCUAAAUGAGAAUUCAUAGUCAUGAAGUAAUAACUAUUUAAUUGAAAACAUUUUCUUGACAAAUAAUUGAAUUGAUUUUUUUUAUGAUUCAAGAAUGUUAUAGAAAACAAAAAUGUUCAUCAUAACACAAUAAUAAAGUAUUUAUUUUAUUUGAUGGGUGAAAUAAAAUUCACAUAUAUAUAUACACACAAGUACAUGUCAUAUAUGUUUAGAAGCUUAAUACAAUAAUCGUAAAGUUCACGUUUAUUGGACCAAAGAAGGUUACAUGAGGAUGAGGGAUGACUUUUUAGUCAGUUUUUUAUGGAGCUUUUAUGACUCUUACCAAACAUUUGUGUAUAGGAUAAGAAAUAAGCAAGUAAUUCAAUUGACACCGAGCAUUAAGUCGCUUCACCCUACAUUUAUCGAUGAAAACAUUUCUAUGAUCACAUUUUUAUUGAAUCUCUAAUUAUCAAAUUCUUUACUAAAUAAACUUAGUUACUCGAGGUGAUUGAUCAUGUUUUUCAAUUUUUAGAAAAAAUUAUAUUAUAUAUAUAUUUUAAAAAAAGCAUCUUAAUCCUAACAAAUUUAUGUUUAUUUUGGGUCAAAAGUUUAUAGAAAAUAAAAAGUUAGAUGAAACUCCCUUGUAAUUGAGGACAAAAUAAUGAAGGAAAAUUGAGAUCUCGAUUUUGGCUAGAUCACGUCUUGGACACAUCCUAACUCCUAAUCCCAAGGUAGGUAAAAGCACCUGGACUUCCUAUAAAAUUCUGCUAAAAAAAUUAAAAUAAGAAAAUAUUUUCAAAUAUAGCAAAAUGAAUCAAAAUAUAUAUUUAUUAAUAUAAUAAAAUAUUAUUAUUUAUCAGUGAAAUUGAUAGUAUUUGUCAACAUGAGCUUAGCUUAAUGAUAUCACUAUAUUUUUUAGAACAAUAGGUCUCCGAUUCAAAUUCAUUCUACCAAACUCUACCACACUAAAUAAAUGUAAAGAAAAAAAAAAAAAAAAAAGACUCCAAUCAAGUUAUAUUCAAAAGUUAGGACUAAUAUAUAUAUAUAUAUCAUUUUUAGGAGAGUCCAUUUAUAUUUUGCAUCUAAUCAACGAUUAGUGGCUGAAAAAAAAAAGCAUAAAUAGAAAAUAAAAGAAUAUGCAUAAAUAAGUAGAGUAUUUAAUAAAUGCAUACAUCCCAUCUGGAAGGAUUGAAUUGUUGAGGGGAAGGAUGUAGUUUUUGGUCCAUGUUAAGCCCUUGAAGCAAAGCAUGACUAUCAUGAAAGAAUUUAUUGAGGGAUCGGGGAGCAUAUGCCUCCCCUCGCAUUAUCAGUUUUUGUAUUUUAAUAUUAAUUUUGAAAUGUCAGAUUAUAAUAUAUAUUAAAUAAUACUCAAUUUUAGAUAAAAUUUAGUUCUGACGUAGUGGUUGUGCCCCUGUAAAACCAUGAGGUUAUGUGUUAGAAUUCCACUUACAACAAUUAUUUUUACGAAAUAGUUUUUAUUUCAAAUAUCAAUAAUUUUCUUCUCUAAAAUGAUUUUCUAAAAUGAAGUUAAUUUGAUUUUUCUUUCUAAAUUUCAAUGACUUCCUAAAUGUAAAAUAAUUUGAUUUCAUAAAAGGAAUAUAAUUUUUUAAAAAGAGAAAAAAACCUGUCUAAGAGAAAACUUUAUCUUGUAUCAAUUAUUUUCUUUCCAAGUUUUAUUCAAAAUAUCAAUAAUUUUCUUCUUCAAAUGAUUUUCUAAAAUGAAGAUAAUUUGAAUUUUCUUCCUAAAUUUCAAUGAUUUCCCAAACGAAAGAUAAUUUAGUUUACUAAAAUGAAUAAAAUUUGAUAGUAUAAUUUUUUAAAAAGAGGAAAAUAACAUAUCUAAGAUAUCUUAUUUUCCGGCGCUAGUUUGUUAUCUAACAAAUAUUUAGAAAAAAAUGCAAAAAAUUGGGUGGUACAAACUUUCACUCUCAACAAUGUUCCAUAAAAAGUACUAUUCUUUUAUUUUUUUGAUGCAAUUUUUAAAUCUACAUAUUUACAUUACAAAAAAUAAAGUGAAAAUUGUUGGAUUUUUUUUUAUUGCUAGUGAAUGUUAUUGGACAAUCAGUUUAACGUAGAUAUAUUUUUUUUACAUUUUUUAAAUGUGUUUAUUAUAUUGUGUUUGGCACCCUAUAUAAAAUUUAUGGAUCCGUCAUUGAUGACUAUCCAUCUCUUUGGUAUAAUUUAACCUAAAAACAAUAAAAAUAUAUAAUAAUACAAAGUUAUUAUAAUUACUCAAUAUAUAUAGGGAAAAUAUUUUAUUUAUGAUUUGUUAUCUAAAUCAAUCUUUUCUAAUAAUUUAACCGUUUUCUUUAAAUAAAAUCCAAUGAUGGGAUCUAGGAAAUCUGGUAGUCCGAUUUUCUAGAAUUCUUUAGGUGAGGGAUCAAUAUUUUUGGGUGUACGAGAUUUGAUCCCAAGAAAAAAUGAAUUUAAUCAAUGUUUUUUUUAAAAAAAAUUUAUUCGAAAACUAGCUUAUGAUAGAUUUUGAGAAAUUGUAAUAAUUUCUUAUUAUCUGAAGGUGAGAAACUUUGCUCAAUAUAUAGUAUAAUUAAUGAAAUAUUAUUCCACUUAUUUUUUAUUUUAUGAGAUCAUUGAUUCAAAUGUUGUAGUAAUGAGAGGUAAAAUAAGACACUAGUUUUAAAAUAAAUUAAAAAAUAUUUUCAAUUCUAUAUUUAAAAUUUGGCCACCGUUUUUCUAAAUGGGUGUUGUGGGUGCUAAUAAUUUUCCCACACACAAAUGACUUCCGAACUCAAUUUUAUUUUUCGCAGACCAAUUUUUUAAAAAUUGUUUACUUUAUUUUGUUAUCCAAUCACAUCGUAAAAAGAUUGGUGGUGACUCCUAUUUUCUUUUAAAACUAACUCUUUCCAGGACGUCGGCUUCUCCGCUUCGUCUCGGGCACGUGCUGACAGCUUGAUGAGUACUCCGCUGGAGACAUAAGGCUUUAUCUCGAGAGUUUGGCUAUUUCCUUUUUUAUCUUGAAUUAUUUUAUUCUAAAUUUAUUGUUCGUAGUUAUUGUACAUUUAAUUAUUACACACAAUCACGAGCCUCCUACCCGGGCUUUACAAGAUUAGAAUUGAAAACGAAGCAGUAGUAGUGGGACGAGGUUAUUGUGCAUUUUUGCCUCCACAUGAUGCAACUUUAAGGAAACCAUCACAAGUCAGUCCUGGAUGUCGGAAAUAAUUCACUUUCAACUCGUGGAGUGGGAUUCCUCUUAAUUUAAUCCAUCCACCAUAGCUUCGGAGAUGAACUUCGGUUUUGCAUGCAGAGAACUGGACCACUUUUCAAAUUUAACAAAAUACUUGCCAACGGUUAAACAGCCACUGUUGUGACAAAGUAGAUUAGCUAAAACGAUCUCUUUGAAGUUGACCAAAGCUUUUUGAAGAUGGAAGGGCUUGAAACUGAACUCUUCCUCAGUUUGCUUUCUCAAGUUGUUCAUGAUUUUCUGUCAAUCACCAUGAAAAUACUGUCUAACCAUAACCACUCGUUUUCUAACUUCAGAGGAAGUUUGAGGCCUUUGGGAUUUGUACCUGAAGAACAACUUGAUGUGGAGCUAUCGCUUAUACUUCUUUUGGAGACUGCUUUUGCAUAGGAACAUCUAGGGGAGACAACAAUUGGUGGGGAAUAAAAUGCUCGCGGCUUGCCCUGGGGAGUGAAAGAGGGUAUUGUUCUAGCUUUGACUUCAACCUUCGGGGUGAUCUGUGAUAGAAAGGAGACCCAACCAUUUUUUUCAAUGCCUUAUGGGACAAGAAUAUUGCAUGCCUUUCUUCCAACAUAAUCAACCUUAUAAACUUCAGUUGUGCAACCUCUGCUGUUUUUUGUUUUUCUGAUCCAUUAAGCAAUGGUUCUUCAUUUCUUGUUUUCAAGAAAAAUUGAUUUGAACUUGGCAUUGCAAUCAGAGUUUUGAGAGUGCUUCUGACCCACUCUAGAGAAUCCGGAGUAACUUCUACUGAGAAUGUCUAAUGUGCACCUACUUCAGUUAGCCAGUACAUUAUCGACUGUGAAUAUUGUGGUAUUUCAUUGAUUUUUUAGUAUUUUUUUAGCUUGAAUAUUUUGUAUUUUUCAGUCAUUAUAUAACACUGUACACUCCUAAAGGCAUUAAAAAAUGCUCUCUCUUUUCUCUCUCUCCUAGAAGCCCAUCCGUCGCAACAAUAACUCCACCUGCCGGAAACAACAGUGAAGCAGCCAUUGGUAGGGAAAAAUGUGACGGCUAUCUACAAUUACUAUCGAACAACUGAUGACAUCUACUCCUCUCCUCAUGACACAACCCCAUGCAUUCGUUUUAAAAGGUACACACUCUUUCUCUAACUCAACUUAUUCUCCCUUCCCUUACUCUUGCAGAUGUAGAUGCUGAGUCAUCGAACUGGAUUAACAACACUGCGUGUUCUGACUCAUUACUACUUUGUGUUUCUCAAGUUGUUCCUUCAGCCACUUAUCUUUUCAUAAUUAUCAUUGAUUAUUUUGGUUUACAUUUAUCACGUUGAAAAAGCAAGGAUAACAAAUUAUUUAUUCAUUUAAGACAAAUUGCAUUGUUCUAUCAUCACCUAUGUAAAAACCCAAAUGAGGAGAAACACAUCCACCUCAUGGGACCAAUGAGAUGGUCUAUUGUAACCUCUCCAAAAUAAAAAAAAAAGGAGGAUAUUGGAUAUCAAUAGAGUGGCUGACACAAACUUCGCACAUCUACUAUAAAUGACUUUGGAGAUUCUGCAAUGAACAAAAACCCCUUUGGAAAAGGCUGGUUAUAGCUAAACAUAACCAAGCCUACAUUGGAGAGAUCCCCGUGAAUGGAAAAUAUAGUAGCCUAAAAGCCCCAUGGAGAUCCAUUAUAAAAGGAUUGGAUUGGUUCCUUGCCCAAGUUAAUUGGAAAGUCACCAAUGGUGAAAAUUGAUCUCUCUUUCUGAAGACGUGCUUGGAACGAAAAAGUCAUGUCUCCUUGUAUAGACCAAGGCUGUUUUCCCUCUCAAAAAUCUAAAUGGGAACUGUGUUAAGGAAGCCUGUAACCAAAACACAAUAGAAUUGGACUUCCAGCCUUGAAAGGCUUUUCGAAACUUUGGACUUGUCAACAAUGGAACAAAUUAAAAUCUCACCUCACAGCUCCUUGCAACAAAAGAGGCCUUGACACUCUGAUGUGGAAGCAUAAUACUGAUGGUACGUAAGUGCAGCAUUGCCUCGAUUAAUUAGAAAGCUAUUCAUAAUGUGGAGCCAAGAGAUGAAAUGACUAUAAACCCAAAGACCUUGAAAAACUUGUGGAAAUCGAGCAUUCCAAAAAAAAAUGUAGAUUUUUUAUUUGAUCUCUCAUUCAUGAUUGCAUUAACACAACUAACAAGCUUCAAAGAAAAGACUCCCUUGUACACAUCUCAACCCAAAUUGGUGCAUUAUGUGUAAAGCUCACUCGAAGUAUAUAAAUCACAUAUUCAUCUCCUAUUCUACUUCCUGAAAUCUAUGGGGUAAAGUUGAGACCCUUAUGAACUGAAAAAAUAACCAUCAGAACAUGGUCUCUCUCUAUAUUGAACUCUGCUCCAUCAAACAAAAGAAUAGAAAAGCCACCUAUCAUCUUCAACACUAUAACGGCUAUUCUUUUGUCUACUUGGCUGGAAAGAAAUAAUAAAGUUUUCAAAGACCAUGGAAAUCAAUUACUGAGCUUUGGGAAUACAUUCGUGCCCUCACUAGAUACCAAACUAGGUAGUAGAUCAUUCAUCCUGUUUGUUAACUAUGGCCGGAGCAGUAUAGAUUUAAGUCUUCCUGCGUUUGUUUCUUGUUUAUUGUGAUGUCUUUUGUAUUGGGGUUGAUCUCAUGCUUCUUGCAGUGGAUUUUUAGUAGAUUUUUGUUAUUAUUAAUGAACUAGGGAUCAUAAUGAAAGUGUUUAAGAGGUGUCCACCUAUUGAAGAUGUCGUGAUGCAAUUGCCGACAUAAUCAGAUCUCUUACAAAAACACAAAUUACAUUGCUACACUCAAACAUAACUUAUUAAAUUGUUUUUCUUAAAAACUCAUUUAAAGUACUUUAUUAAAUUGUGUACUUCUAUGAAGAACAAAUGUAGCAUUUAAUAGACUUAUGGCUCCCCUAACUUUCCACACACAUUGUCUUCUCACCUUAACCUCAAUAAGGUGAAUAAAUUCUCAUUUAAUAUGGUUGGUUAAGUAAAAAUUUUUUUUAAAACGUUUUAGUUUUUUUUUGUUUGAAGUUGUUCAAAUUUAAUGGUUGUAUAUUCAAUAAAUAUUAUAAUAUUGUAUCAAAUUUUUUAGAUAAAAUUAUUAAAAGACAACAAUAAUUUUAAUGCAAUAAAAUACAACGUGUGAAUACAUUUUGAAAAAUUAUAGUAAAAAAAGAUAAUAGUUCAUAAAAAAAAUUCACAAAAAAAUAAUAGUAGAUGGAUAGUUGAGACUAAAUUUAAAAUAUAAUAAUAAUGUUAAUGCAAUAACAUACAAUAUGUGAAUACAUCUUGAAAAAUUAAAAAGAUGCUAAAAGGAUGACUCAGUGGGGAUGUUGGGUGCACCUACGGACCCAUAUGUUAUUCUUUUGAAAAAAAGAUAGUCGGACCUAAAUUUAAGAUAUAUUAAAGUGUGAAAUUAGAUUUUUUUUUUUUCUUUAUGACAUUAAAUUGACCUCAACGAGAUUCAUUGUGAAGCAGUAAGAACUAUUUAAUUGAAAACUUUUUUCUUGACAUAAUACUUGAAUUGAUUUUUUUAAACAUUCAAUUAAAAUGUGAUUCAAAGAAUGUUAUAGAAAAAUAAAAAUCUUUAUCAUAACAAUAAUUAUAAAGUAUUUAUUUUAUUCCAUGGGUGAAUUAAAAUUCACACACACAUACACACAAGUAAAUGUCAUAUAUAUUUAGAAGUUUAGAUACAAUAAUCAUCACAAAGUUCACACUUGUUGGGCCAAAGAAGGUUACAUGAGGGAUGACUUUUUAGUCACUUUGAUGGAGUUUUUAUCACUCUUGCCAAACAUUUGUCUAUAGGAUGAGAAAUGGGCAAGUAAUUUAAUUUGCAUUCAGGAUUAAGUCGCUCUAUCCUGCAUUUAUUCAACACGUAUAUUUAUCCAUAAUAUAUAUAUUUUUUAAAAAAAGUUAAAAGCAAUUUAAUAACAAUUUUAUUUCGAUAAGUUUGACUGUGAAUGGUAAUCAUUUUGUUUUUAGUUUUUGGUUUUUGAAACUAAGUUUAUAGGAUACAUUUUCCAUCUCUGUCUGUUGUUUUGAUUUACAUACAUGGAUGUAUAUAUAUAUAUAUAUGUAUAUAUAAACAUUAAAUAAAAUAACUCUACUUUUUUUGUAUUGGAUAUCUUGUUUUCAAAUUCUCUACCAAAUAAACUUAGUUAUUAUACGUGAUUGAUCACAUUUUUCAUUUCGUAAAAACAUUUCUAUUUAUUUAAAAUUAAACAAAAGCAUGUUGAGGUUGACAAAUUUAUGUUUAUUUUGUGUCAGAAGUUUAUUGAAGAUAAAAAGUUGGAUGAAACUCACCUGUAAUUGAGGACAAAAUAAUGAAGGAAAAUUGAGAUCUCCAUUCUGGCAAGAUCACGUCCCGGGCACAUCCUAACUCCUAGUCCAAAGGGAGUAAAAACACCAGAAUUUCUUCCAAAAUUCUGUUUAAAAAAAUGCAAGAAAAUGUUUUCAAAUAUAACAAAAUGAAUCAAAAUAUUUAUAAAUAUAUAAAAUGUCAUUAUUUAUCGGUGAUAGAUGAUAGACCCUAAUAAAAUACUAUCAUCUAUCACAUGUAGAAAUUGAUACUAAUUGCUAAAAUGAGUUUAGUUUAAUUGACAUUUGUAUGCUCUUAAGAACAACAAGUUUUGGAAAAUCAAAUAUGUCAUCAUCUAUCACGAGGUUGGAAACUAAACAUAAAAAUUAAAAUGUUAUAGUUUGAGAUCCAAAAAAACCAAAAUAAAUGUAAGCAAAACUAUAUUCAAAACUUAGGAUUAUAUAUAUAUAUAUAUAUCAAUUUUGGGAGACAUACUAAAUUUAGUCCAUUUAUAUUUUGCAUCUAAAAGAUUAGUUGUUGAAUUAACAAAUUAAAAACAUAAAAAAAAAAAAAAAAGAAUAUGCAUAAAUAAGUAGAGGUAUUUAAUAAAUGCAUACAUCCCAUCUGGAAGGAUUGAAUUGUUGGGGGGAAGGAUGUAGUUUUUGGUCCAUGUUAAGCCCUCGAAACCAAGGUAUGACUUUCCAUCCCUUUGGUAUUAUUUUACCUAAAAACAAUCAAAAUAUAUAAUACAAAGUUAUUGCACUUACUCAAUGUAUAUAGGGAAAAUAUUUUACCUUUUUUAGCUAGAAGGAUAUUAUACAAACCGGCCUUUAUAGAAGGGUACGGUUUGAGACUUAAUCUGGGAUGAAAGUGAAAAAUAUAGUCAUAAACCAACCGUUAAUUUCAACAUCAACUGUUGCCUCACGAAAAGCAGCAAAUACCAUACUACUUAAGCGAAGCGUCUCAUCUAUAACCUGGAUAUUAUACAAAAAGUAUAUAGAUCAAUUAAUAGUUAUAAUUCAAUAAUAUUACUAGAUUUUGAAAAUAUAUAAUAGAUAAGCAUAUUAGAGGAUAUAUAAACACAUCUCAUCUAGGUCGACAUCUCUCUAUAGCAUCCUCAUCACACCUCAAAACCAAAAACGAUAUCAUUGAUCGAUGGAAAGGUACAAAACAAACGAGAAAGAAACACAAAUAGCUAUAUAAAAGAUUACAAAACCUCUUUCUAGUUGAGCCAUAGAGUAGCAAUUCUAGUUACUAUAUUCAGAUACUUGUUGGUGGUGUUUAUUAAAAUAUUAUUUGCUAUUAUAUGACAAUCAUAUUAGUUAAAACUAGUUGUUGAAUUCAAGAGUCACUGCUAUUACAAAAAAGGGCUUUCUUGACGCUUGUAGUUUUGAAUACUUGACGAUUUUUGAAAAAAGGUCAAGAAAUAGGUUACUUUAAAUAAAAAACGUCAAGAUUUUUUAUGAAAAAACGGAGGUAGGAAAUUUUUUAACUUUCUUGACGUUUUUAAACGUCAAGUAAUAAGUAUUUUUUCUUGACGUUUUUAAAACGUCAAGAAGUUUAUAUUAAUUCUUGACAUUUUUAAAACGUCAAGAAUUUUUAUAAAUUCGAUAUUCUUGACGGUUUUUAAACAUCAAGUGAUAAAUAUUUGUUUUUGAUGUUUUAAAAACGUCAAGAAAAUUUUAAAUUCUUGACGUUUUAAAACAUCAAGAAUUUUUAUGAAAAUACGGAAGUGAGGUAAUUUUCCAAACUUCUUGACGUUUUUUAAACGUCAAGUGAGAUAAUUUUCUUGACGUUUUAAAAAUGUCAAGUUUAUGAAAUAAGUGGAAAAAAAAUGGAAACACGCACGUGGAUUGUAGCUAGACAAACCCUAGAAAAAUGAAACGCUUCUUCACGCCUCUCAUUCGAAGAUAAAAUCGUCGUCUGAUAUCCUUCAUGCCUCUCCUUCAAAAACGAAACGCCACCUGAUAUUCUUCCCGCCUAUCCUUCGAAAAUGAAACUUCAUUUACCGUGCUCCGUUUGUAAUCGUCGUCGAGGAAGAACUUCAUCUGUACUUCGUUCGAAAUUGUCGUCUGAAAACAAAACGAGCUUCAUCUGAACUCCGUUUGAAAUUGUCGCCUAAUCCAUUCAAAAACGAUGCUUCUUGAUCACCGUGCUCCAUUCACCGUGCGCCGCAGUCCAUUCGUCGUGCUUCCUUGUACCACCGUCGUUUUAACUUUUGGAAUUAUGUUUAAUGGUUCAUCUCUCAUUCUCUAUUUUUUCUUUGUUUAGGGAUGUUCGUUCCAUUCCUUAAAGGUCAAGGUAAUAAGGAGCAGCUACAAAAGGUUUAGUUUCUAUUUUACUUGUAUUUAUUCUUUUGGAAAAAUUCGAUAGAUUUCAUGUACUUAGUUUCUUUGUAAAAAUUUUAUCUAUGUUAUUGUUAUAUAUGAAAGUUCUUAUUUAUAUGUGUACUAGUUUUGUGUUAAAAUAGAAUCACUGAAUUAUAGGAACAAGAAUAUAAUUGAUUACAAUUUUUUUUUAUAAAAAAAAUCAUAACAUACUUGACGGUUUUAAAAUGUCAUAAACAAGUGCAUCCUUGACGGUUUUCAAUGUCAUAAACAAUCAAUUUCUUGACGGUUAUUAAAUGUCAUGAACACUUAUAAUCUUGAUGGUUUUAAACUGUUACAAACACUCAUACUCUUGACAGUUUUGAACUGUCAUGGACAUUUGUAUACUUGACGUUUAUAAAACGUCAACGUUCAAUAUUCUUGACGUUUUUAUCAACCGUCAAGAACUUUGGCUUUCUUGACACUAGCUUUAACGAUGGUUUUAAAACCGUCAAGAAUAGUGAUUCUUGACAGUUUAAAAACGUCGAGAGAGCCUGUUUUUGUAGUAGUGCACGUAAAUACAAUUUUUUUUUUGAAUGGCCGUUUUCACAAAGAACAUUUAUGAUUAAUGACCUGUCUUCUUGUAAACUUUUAAAGUAUUCUAACUUUUUUACUUAUUGUGUUAGGAAUGACCAUCUCUAUGACGUUUUGUGAUGAGGACAGAUGUUUAAUCAUAAAGGGAUAUCAACAACCGUCAAAGAAAACUCAACAAUUAAUCACGUAAAACUUUAACACGAAUUCUUUUAGGUUAAGAAUCUUAAAAAUGUUAUGAAAUCAAAAUUGAUUACCAAUCAAACUUAAUGUUCAAAUUAAAAUAAAAAUAAAAGGAAAUGAAUUAAAAUAAAAAUACCUGAGAAAGAAAUUUCAUUUGUUUAAUCUCUGAUAGACUUACACCCUUUUGUGUUGAGGCUCUUCUGAUGAUGAUAUCUUCUUGUUCUUCCUAAAACCAAUUCUUAAACUUAACAACAAAAUAAUAAUUUUUUUUUUCAUAAUAAUAAAAUUAAUAAAAAAUACUAGAUUACUAUGUUAUCCAUGAUCAUAUGUUCCUAGUAUUAAAUUUUUGGUCGUUUUAUCGACGUGUCAAUAUUCUUAUAUUUCAAUGAGUUUGACAUCGACUUCAAAUGUAAAUCAAUAUUUUCAUUAUAUACAUAUAUAUAUUUAAAUAUAGAAGGUAAGAAAAUAAACAAUAACAUGUUACUUAUGUUAAAUAUAAUAUAAAUAAUAAUAAACAUGCUUACUACUCUCGUUAAAUAAUAAAUAUCCUAAUAAUAUAUUUAUUUACUAAUAUAAUUUGAAUUUUUUUUUUAUUUUGUCUGUUAUAAAUUUCUAAGAAAUGUCCAUCAACACAAAUAUUUUAACCAAACUUUUUCAUUUAUAUUUUUACAAAAGCAACGUUUCCAUCUUUUUGUCGAUAUUGAUAUUUUUUUCAAACAACCAAUACCAAUUAAAUAUGCUUUUUUUUCCAAAAAAAAAAACACCAAAAACGAGAAUCAAUAGAUACACACUAGGAUAUCUCAACUAUAUUAUUGGUACAUUCAUAUAACAUCUCUUUAUUAUGAAUCUCGAAAUCGAAAUAGCAUACCCUAAAAUGUCUAUAUGAAUUUGUAGUCUAAACCUUGAUCAUGUAUAUCUUCUUAAUUAAGUUUCAUUUAUCUCAUAUACAUUAUUAUGCAAUUAAAACAUGAGUUGGGAAAUUAAAGAAGAGUCUAACCUUGGCCUUCUGGAAUAUAUGUGGAUUAUCCGUAAGAAACAAAACUGCCCACAUUGUAGUGAAGGCUGUAGUCUCUUGGCCUCCAAAUAGCAUACCAAAAAUGAUCUCUGUAAUGGUCUCAUCAUCAAAUCCUUCACCAUCUUCAUCUCUCACUUCCAUCAACAAAUCCAUCAUAUCUUUUGCUUCCCAAUUUUCCCCUUUGCUUUUCUUCACCAUUCUCUUCUCAUCCAAAUAUGAUUGAAGUAUUUCAUUCAAUCUUUUUCCAGCCUACAUAUAAUUUAUACAUUUCUUUUCGUUGUAUCAUACGAUAUAGUGAUUAUUGUAGAGUAGAUUAAUUGAAAAUAUAUUUCACAUAUAUGAUAAAAGUUAUCGACACUUCGUCACAUUUGUAUUAGAAAUUAUUUUUGUUCUUACCAUGAGUGCUUUAUGGAAGGGUAAGCCAGGAAAGUUGAGUGGCAGAGUGAAGAACGCAAGUGCAAUAUUCUCAUUCAAAGUCUCCAUUUCUCUUAUAGAAGUGCUUUUUAUUGGAGUUGAACCCAUAAAAAUGUUCCAAAUAAUUUUGAAGGUAAGAUGCUUUAUCGUUGUUAAUAACUCCAAUGGCUUCUCCAUGCUUGACCAUUCCUCCAACCCACUAAUUACAGUGUGUUCAAUAUGAUCAAUGUACAUCUCGAGCGCCGCGUGGCCGCUGAUCGGUGCUGUUGUCAGCCGUCGGAGCUUCCGAUGCUCCUCCUUCGAGACUUGAAGCAGUGAUUUUUUACCAAAUACGGUUGUCAUGGUUUUGGGAUAACCAAGAAUGAACUUGGUUUCAUCAGUUAAUACUUGACGACAUAUUUCAGGUUUGCAGACGAUUACAGUUGGUUUUCCAAAUAUGUGAGUCUUGUACAUAUCAAGUUUCCCAUAUCUAAUCAAAGAAGAAGAAAAGGAAAAAUAAAAUAAUUAGUAACUUGGGUUAUGUAACUACUUGAAAGCACGUGAAGUCUCGUAGUUUUAUUUUAGAAGAACUUAAUUAAAACAUACCAUAAGUUUAACAUCAAAUUAAUAUUCUAUAGUUUUACUUUAUAGCGUAAAAGUUUUUAUUUCAGUACGCAUUUUCAUAAUAAAAAAAAAGUUAAUAAUAUGGUACAAACUAAAAGAUUAUGAUGGUCAUUUGGUAAUAUUUUAGCCUAAUGUCGUAACAAUUUUUUAUUUUAUGUUUUCACAUAUCUACCAUAUAUAUAUAUAGUAACUAUAACAAAUUUGAUAAAAACUUUUUUGUCGAUAUAAGAACAUAAAGAUAUUUUCACUUGUGUUAGAGUGUUUGAAAAUUAUAUUUUAAAUAAGAGAAUGAGAAAAACGUAUAGAAAAUUUAUUGUAAUUAAAAGACAAAACUUCUAAAAAUAUUAGAAUUUAUUUGUGAAUAGACAUUAAUACAUUUUUGUCCAUGUCUAAAUGUUUCUAAAAGGUUGAAAGUUCAAUUAUGCAUCAAUUUGGGUAUGAGUUGUUUUUCAAUUUAUUUGUUUUGCACAUGUUUUCAAAAUCAAAAUCAUGUUGGAAAACUAAAGAUCACUUAAAAAAAAACAAUUAGUGGGGGAUUUGGCUGGUAGAAUUAUAUGACAAACAAUAUCUUUGAGAAAGAUGAAACUAUCAUGACAAUAAGAGAUAUAGAAGAAAACAUUAACAAAAUUUUAAAAUCUCCAAAAUCAAAUAAUACAGUUGCCAAAGGGUUGACUAACUACUACAAUUUUCUUUUCUUUUGACGUAUUUAUAGUGAGUUCCACGAUCUCUUCUAAUGAAUAUUCUCUCACAUAAUUGUUUUAUUUUUAAAAAAUUAAACUUAUAUUUACUGAGUUGAAUUUUAGUUUUUAAAUUUUGACUUUAACUUACAUUUUAAAAAAGUGCUAAGAUCGAAGGCUCGAUGAGUGUAUCUAAACAUUUCAACUAGGUUGACAAUUGACACGCCUCCUAAAGCUUCCACAUCAUACCUCGGUCCAAAAAUGCAUUGAUAUAAGAAAAAUGUUGACACCAAGACAUCUCAAAUUUCGACUUAACUUUUAGCUACAAGUGUAAACAAGUUGGAUUGGGUUGUAGGACAUGUCCAACUCAAUCCAUAUUUUUGAGUUGGUUGGGUUGACAACCCGAAUAUAUAGUAUUUCCAACUCAAUCAAAUGCAAUCCAACCCAAUGGUUGUGUUAUUCGGUUGUAUUGUUUUUUUUAUUUCAUUUCUAAUGUUUGUUAAAUUUAAAAUUGAUGUACCUAUCAUAUCGAUAAAUCUAAAGAUCUAAAAAUCCAUAGCUUCAAUGAACACUGAGAAGGGGAAGUCGAGAAGAAAGGGGAAAUAAGAUAAUCAUGCUCGUCCGAUUAUUCGAGUUAUUCAAACUAAUAAAUUUUGUUGUUUUAUUAUCAAUUACCUUUAAAAAUUAAGUGAAUUCAAGUGUUUAAUAAUUAAUAGAAUAAUGGUGAGAAAAUACAAGGAAAGCACAUACAUUUCAAAAUUUGAAAACUAGAAAACAAAAUAUUGUUAACUUUACAUGUUUAAGAAAAGCAGGUUUUCCAAGUUGAUAAUUGUUUCUAUCAACUCAACCUGAAUGAUAUUUAUAGGUUAAUUUAGUGACCAUAAUAGUCAACUUAAUGCUGAGCUAAAUACCCAAAGUGUUUUGUAGUAGUAAGUGAGAAGAUUUUUUUAUAUAUAUAAUUUUGAGGACCUUAUAAUAAUUUUUUUAACAAAGUAGAACAAGAUCGAUGGAUGCAUCGAGAAAUCUCAACUAAAUUAACACUUGCGUAUGUAGCAAACUCAUCAUACAUACUUGAUGUCAUGCUAAACUAUAAUAUAUACACACAUGAAUUUGUGAAUUUAAAGAAGAGAACUAAUUUAAAAGUAAGUUUUCAAAUAAAUUAGAGUGGGAAACUUAUUUGAAAAUCAUUAUUUGUCUCUCAAUACAUGUGUAGAAUGGAUGGCUGGAUGCAAAAGAGUGAGGACAUAUAUACCUUCUUGAGAAGUCACCAAUGAAACCGUCUGGUGAACCAAAAGUGAAAUAUUUGAGAAAGGAUAGAGUAGAACCAAUAAGUGGCCAAGAUAGAUCACCAGGAGGAAGUUCAUCCCAUUUCUUCCCUAAUUUCAAUGCAUAAUACAAAUUAUUCAAUCUCUUCAAAACCCCAAACCCUAAAACAAAACCCACACAAGGAACAAUCAACAACAGCCAAUUUAUCAUCAACUCCAUUAUUUUGAUAUUUCUCUCCACUUCAACACACCUUUGCUUUUUAUAUCAACAUAUUUUUUUGGCUUCUUCACAAUUCUAAUUUUUUAUUGCUCAUCUCUCUGAUUAUAUCUUCUUAAGUAUAUUGUACUUAAGUAAUAAUCCUUGGUGUUGAAUCUCUCAUUCCUACUUCCCAAAAAAAAAUAUCCAAUAAAUUUCUAUUUUUUUUUGGUAAAAAAUACCUCUAAACUUCUAAAAGUUUUAAGAAUAUUUUUAAAAUUAAAAUAAUUGUAAAAAAAAAUACCUCUUAACUAUUGAAAAGUUUCAAAUAUAUAUAUAAUUAAAGUUGAUUUUUUUUUUAAAAAAAAAUACUCUCAAAAUUAGUAUAUGAAAUGAAAUCGUUAAUAUCUUACUGCGAAACUAACUCUAUAUUAAAAAUAUAUCUAUCGCUAGUAUAGUGAUACAUUUAUUUGAAGUCUUUUUUUGUUUGAAAAGAAUCAAUUUGAAAAUAAACUAUAUUGACCUUCAGUAUUUGGUCCUUAACGAUUUUGUUUUAAGAUUUUUUUUUCAUUUUUUGAAAAUUAAGCCUAUUGACGCUACUUCUCUACCUCCAAUCUUUUUAUUUGUUAUCUACUUUUAAGUGAAGAUGGUCUUAGUCUCCCUCUAAGAAAGACACUCCCUCUCUGAAAAACUUGAGCCCUCUAAGAAAGACACUUCCUCUCUGAAGAACUUGAGCUCCCCUAAAGUAAUUUGUGAAACUCUCCGUCACAGUAUUGUAUAUAUUAUCUUUCUGUUGAACAAAAUCUCAUUUGUUUGAAUGACUUGCGCUUCCAAUAAGUUUAGAGAAUUUCUUCUAAAUGUGUAAUGCCCUGAGUUUAGGAGAGGGACAUGAAUGAACCGUUAUCACAUCUGAAUGAGAGGAAUCUUGAGGACACGAAAUGAGGACAUGAAAGUAAUGUUAAGAAAGACUUAAAAGAAUUAAAAGUUACUACCUAUACCAAUAAAGUACACCUUCCUUUUCGGUAGCUCGAUCAUAGGAACUCUAAAGUUUGGCGUGCUUAACUUAGAGCAAUUCUAUGUUGGGUGACCUCUUGGAAAUUUUCCUAAGAUGCAUGUGAGUGAGGACAAAGCAUAUUGAAAGGACUCGUAUUGGUUUGUGGGGAUGACUUUCGCUCUAAUAAGCCUUUAGAACAUGUAAGGAUGAUGUUGUCAGGUCGCAGGGGAUAUAGGGGAAUGUUGGAAAUCUGAAAUUCGAGUCAUGGGCAUGAGGCGUUACACAAUGAAUCACAAAUGCAUAGAGUAGUAAGAUCAAUGGAGAAUGUCUCCAAUACAUGUAAUGUUUCCUUCUUCUAAACACAAGCCUAAACAUAACUAUAUCUAUUAGCAUUUAUAUAUAUGUCGACCAUCCCUUUUUUUUUAAAAAAAAAAAAAGCAAUGCAAUGACAUUUACGAAUUUUGAAGCCAUAAAACAAAUAUUGUCAAUCUAAUAAAACUUAACAAAUUCAAAUAAAUUUAUACUAUACUAACGAUAGAUACAUUUUUAAUUUAGAGUUAGUUUUGCAAUGCGAUACAGGUUCAGUUCAUAAACUAAUUACGAGAGUAAUCUUUUAACUUUUUUUUUUUUUAAGUUCAAGGGUAUUUUUUUAUACAAAACUUUCACAGUUUCCAUAUAAAACUAACCGCAAUGGUAGUUUUGACCUACUUUUUAAAGUUUCAGAGUAUUUUUUGAAACUUUGAAAAGUUUAAGGAUAUUUUUAAUAUAAAAUGUAAAGUUGAGGAAUAUUUUGUAUAUUUAGCGUUGUUUUUAUUUAAGAAAAAACUAGCCAAUCAAUUCCUUUUUUCCUUUAGGUCAACUAUAACAUUUAUAUUAGAAAAUUUAUAACAUUUAUUUAGAAAUGUGAACAAAGUACCAUACUUAUUGGUCGAGUAGAUAAGGUGAAAAUAAGUGAUAUAAUCAAUAAUAUCUUUUAGCUAUGCCUAAAGUAAUUAACUGUGAAAAUAACUAAGAAAAUAGAAAGAACAAAUGACACAUUAGACUUUGUUAACCCAGUUCAGUGAAUAUCACCUACGUCUGGAGAGCUUCUUAGCUCAGAUAAGCUGAAAUAUUAUUAAGAUUCAAAUGAGUAAGCAACAAUACUAUUAAGUUAUAACAAAAACAUAAUCAAAGAUAGACUCUCCUGAAUUUGUAUUUGAUUCUUGUUAAAGAUAAACUCAGACUCCACUUGAAUUUAUUAACCAUAGUUCAACUAUUUCAGUCUUAUUUCAUAUUUCUAAUCAAUAUGUGCAAUAAUGUAAAAACCACUUACAGAACUUUAGUAAUACAUCAUCUUAAAGAAGGCAACUUAACUUCCUUCACAAAUAAUAAUUUUUCAAGAGAACUUCUCUGAAGUCAAUUUUUUGACUAUUUAAAGAUCAUGAUAAUCUCCUGUAACUUCUUUAUGCAAAGAUAUAGAUAAAUGAUUCAUAUUAUGAAGGAAAAUGUUUUAUCUUUAAAUAACAUUUCCAUCUUUAAAUAAUAUCUUUUAGUUAAAUAACCACGUUAAUGAUAAUAAAAAGAAAUUAUUAUUUCUCUUUUACAAAAAUCCCUAACAUAAGGUUUAGAUCAAUUAUAUAAAAUACAUAUACAUAUACAUUCACUGGUAUGAGAUCAUUUAGGUAGUACCAAUGACGUAAAUGUCUCAACCAUGUUUGAGCCAAGACAUUGUAAAAAAUUUAUUUUUAUUCCUGAAUUAAAUUUAUAUAUAUAUAUACGCUUUGUACCUUAUCAUUGAUAAAUGAAUCAUUUUUUAUACUGGGGCAUGGUAAGGGUGCUAAAAAGGGGUGUCGAUACUAAUUGAGAUGUAUGGUAUAUCUAUUGAUUUUUUUGACUUUGUGUAUGGUUAGAUUAUUUGAUAAAUAUGAAAUUAGUUUUAUUUUUAUUUAAACAAAGAAAAAUAUGUCUUCCCUAUAUUUAGGAUCACUUAUAAAUAAGGAGUUAAAAUAUUUUCAUUAAAUAUCUCCUUUAAACAAAAAGAUAAAAGAUAUUCCUCAUAUUUAAGAAUAUUUUAUGCUAAAGAAGUUCUUAUUUAUUGGUUUAUUAAAAAGCAGAAGUUAUGAAUGUAAAAUUCGUUCUUCAUAGCUACAGUUCACAAGUUUAUUUUUUGGUGAAGAAUCUGUACGAAGGUAAAUCUGUUACCUUACAGAUAAUUGAAGAUCAUCAAGAGAUUUGACAGAGUAUCAAUUGAUAAGAAAUAUAAAUGAAGACUGAGAUAAUUGUACUAUGGUUAAUGAAUUCAGGGGAGCCUGAAUUUGUCUUCAAGGAGAUUAAAGCUUACCGUCAGGGGAGCCUAAGUUUAUACGGUUAAGUUAUGGUGAUAACUUGUUAAUGUAAUUUUAUGGUUAAGUUACAAAUUUUUUAAUCUCAAUAAUAUUUCUUAUCUGAGCAAAGAAGCUCCCCAGAUGUAGGUCGUAUUUGUCGAAUUGGGUUAUCGAAGUCUUCUAUAUUAUUUGUUCGUUUUGUUAUGUUAGCUAUUCUUGAAGUUAAUAACAUUAGUCAUAGUUGGAGGAUAUUAUUUAUUAUUUCACCUAUUUUUCAUGUAUAUUUUUAUAAAAAAAAAUUAUAUUAUCAAACAUCUAUUAAACACGAAAUUGGAGGUCAACAAAUUUAUUAAAUAUAGAAUAGUUUAUAAGUUUUAGGUGCACAUGGAAUUAAAUUGUAUAUAUAAUUGUGUUUUGUGUUUGAUCACUCAUCCUAUCAUUGCAUUACUAAAUUAAAGGUCAUCGUGUUUUUAAAAUGAGAGAAAGGCUAAUCAGCGAUAUAUUUUUUUUUGUUGGUAAUGAACACGUUAGAAUUUCUAGGAUAUGUAUUCAAAUUUUAAGUUUUAAAUAGAUUUUUUUAUAAAAAGUAAACAGAAAAAAAAUAGUUGAGAAAUCACCCAAUGCAAAAUUCAUCUCGAAAACAUGGUGGUAGCUAAAAUUACACAUUCAUACUUUCAAUAACAACAAUUUAACCCCUAAAGUUUUAAAAGUGUUAAAAUUGGAUCUUCUAACUUUGAAUUAAUCGUAAAAGUCAGAUCCAACAAUGAUAAAACUUGAACUCUCAAACUUGUAUAUAUCAUAUCAAUACAAUUAUGUAAGUUUUGACGUUUGUAAUUUUAAAAUUUAGAUGAGUUUAAGAACAUGUAACUUUAAUUAAACACCAUAGUUUAGAGAUGUUUUUGGAAUUUGUCCUAUUAUUUAUUAUUUAUCAUCUGUUGUAACCCCUAAAACAAAACCCACACAAACGAACAAUCAACAACAACCAACUUAUUAUCAAUUGAAACACACUUUUGCUUUCUAUAAUACUAACUCAAUACAAUUUUGGGAUUUAUUUUUAAAUCAAUUUUAAACAUUCCUUUUAUAUAUUGCGGAUCACGAAUGUUAUUUGAUGUGAUUGUUAUUUUUAAAUCUUUAUAUAUAUAUAUAUAUAUAUAUAUAUAUAUAUAUAUAUAUAUAUAUUUCUCCACUUGAAACACACCUUUGCUUUUUAUAAUACUAACUCAAUACAAAUUUUCUGUUGUUCAAUUCACAUGUAUUAUAUAUAAUUGUCCUUGGUGUUGAAUAUAUGUAGAUUAGCGAUAAGCUUAUUAUUCUUCUUAUUAUUAUUAUUAUUAUUAUUAUCAUCAUCAUCAUCAUUCAUAAGAAAAGGCUAAUUGACAACUUUUUAAGUUAAUUUUAUGAAUGGUUUCAAAAGUAUCCUUCGGAAUUAUUUUUAAAUCAUUUUUAAAGAUGACUUUUAUAUAUUGCGAAUCACGAAUACUAUUUGAUGCGAUGGGUUGGAAUGAAAAUUGGUUUAAUUGAUUUUAAAUUCUUUGAGGUCGAGAUUUGAGACAAUCUUAAAUUAUAUUUCUUUAUUUUUGUUUGGGAUGAGAAUGAUGAUCUUCAAUUAAUGUGUUUAAAUUUUAUGUUUUAAUAGUAGCUAAAAGAGAGAGUUUGGUACAUCAAUCGCCCAUAUUGAACUUUCCAUAUAAAUUGAAUGUUUGCAUGAUCUUAAUUAACCUAAGCUCCUCUUGAAAAAAAAAAAGGUCUAGUUGUUUAAGUUAUUUUUAAAAAGACAAAUAAAACAUUAUACACGUAACUAUUAUUCUUAAAAUUGUCACUCAUUACGGAUAAGUUUGAGGAAGGAAAGGAAUAUGGAAAAAGGGUUAUUUAAUCCUUUCCUCGUUACUUAUAGCAUCUCUUUAUCAUGUACGUCUUGAAAUCAAAAUAGCAUACCUUAAAAUGUUGAUAUCUAUAGUCUAAACCUUGAUCAUAUAUAUUUUAAUUUACGUUUCAUUUAUAUCCUAUGUACAUCACAAUUUUAACAUGAGUUAGGAAAUUAAAGAAGAGUCUAACCUUGGCCUUUUGAAAUAUAUGUGGAUUAUUUUAAAGAAACAGAACUGCCCACAUUGUAAACUAAAAAUCUUCACUAUAAUAUGGUCUCAUCAUCAAAUCUCUAACGAUCCGAACUUUCAAGUCGACCUAAGGUCAUUAUUCAAAAUAUAAACAUCAAAAGACACUUUUUGAAAAAGGAAACUAAAAUUUUUCUUUAUAAAAUCAAUAUCAAUAAAUGUUCGAAGACAUAAAAACGACAAGUCAAUAAAAAAUAAUUUAAAAACGUGACCCGUGGGUAUUAACAUUUUUUUAAGAAAUAAGGUAAACAAAUGAAACUUUAAAUAAGGUUUCUAAAACCAAAAUACGGAGAAACCUAUAUAUAAAUGCGGAAGCAAAACUAAGUCGCCAUAUGGCAUAUCAAAGAUCCUUCAUGUCGCUCGCCAACUUUCUAGAUCCUAUAUCUUUGCUUGAAAUAUUAAACAUAGAAAAGAGUGAGUAUAUAAAAUAUACCCAGUAGGGAACUCACUACUGGUUCCGCUAGGUGAUCUGUUAACUUCUCGUUAGAAACAUAAAAAUAAUGUCGUGUGUCCAAUGGAACACACCUAGACGAGUGAGAUCGUACAAGCAUCUCUAAUGGUGCGAGUGAUCUCGUAGGAACACCCCUAGUCGUAUGAGUGAUCAUAGAUACACAAUGUGCGUGAGACCGUAUGAUCACUCCCUAAUUGUGCGAUGGAUCCCGAAGGAACACCCCUAAUUGUGCGAGUGAUCGCAGGUACACAGUCCAUAAACAUGUCUGUAAUACUUAGGUACACUCCUAAUUGUGUGAUUGGUCUCGUCAAAACACCCCUAGUCAUGUGAGUGGUUGACCCCAUAUACAUAGUAAAAAUAUCCCCUAACCGAACAUCUGAUAUGUAGGUAUACCCCUAAAUCGUGCGAGUGUUUUCGUAGGAACACCCCUAGUUGUGUGAGUGACAGAUUGGUUGUUUGUUUUGGGACAAAUUGGGACUUAUUAAUUUUGCAUUUGUAUAGUGAAAUCGCAAUACGUCACGAAGUAGGUUCAUCGCGCGUAAGAUGCUCGCCAUAUCUUUAUGUAUUAUUCGAUUAAUUCUAUGCGAUAAGUCAUGAGUCAUGAUCAUAGCAUGCGAAAUGCUCACUAUGUACCUUUUCAUCGUGUAAUAGCUAAGUUCUCGUUGAGUACAAGUUUUUUUAUUGUUCACCCAAGUGAAAGCGAACAACAAGUUACCUAGAUGAUCCAAGAUCGAACACAGAAAAUUGGUUCCAAACAUUAGUUCUAGGGUCUACUUAUCUUUUAAGUGUUAUGGUGAUUGAGUUAAAAGAAUAUAAAAAGAACUAAAGCUACUUACUUACACCUAGAGACUCUUGCACAAGAGAAUAAAUUUUGGGAAGAUUGAGGGAACUAACUUGUAUGUGAGAAAAAGGUAAAAGAAUGUCUAUGCCUUAUUAGUCAAUUAAGCAAUGCGAAAGCUUCGAUGCGAUAUAACUUACAUAAUUAGCUCACGAUUAAGGUGACCUUCUCUCGAAGUGUUUAAAUGUCACACUUGCUCACCUUUCGAGAUGCAAAUGACUAUGUGUAACGAUCCAACUUCUAAAACUAAACUAAUGUCAUUACUUUCACACAAAGACACUUCGUUUAAACAUAAAAGUUCAUAAAAUCUGUUUAAAAUCAAAUAGACAUCAAACAAUCUUUAUUUGGUCCCUAUUUCAAACAAAAUAAACGUUCGAAAGUAUCGUUUAUAAAAUCACCAAGAAAUGAACAAUUUUUUUUAAAACAUGAAACUCAUUUCAAUCAUCAAUACUUAAGAGAAACAGUAAAACAUUAAAAAUUGUAAACGAAAGCAUUUUGAAAGAGUGUUCCCAUAUGACAAUCACGAGUCCUUGUCCCUCAUCGAUCUACCUCUCGUAUUACCUUUGCCUGAAAAAGCUAAACAUGAAAAAAGGGUGAGUAUAAGGUAUACCCAGUUAGAAACCCACUACGAUUCCCAUUAGGGGUAAAAACAAUUAACUUCCUAUUGGGAAAUACCCUACAUCAUAACAGUAUUGUGAUCCCGUAGGAUGCACAUAAUCAAUCUUGUGAUCCCGAAGGAUGCACAUAUUAGUCUAGUGAUCCCGAAUGAUGCACAUAUUAGUCUAGUGAUCCCGAAGGAUGCACAUAUGUGGUGAUCCCAUAGGACACAUGCAAGGUACACCACCCCAUAGAUAAAGUUAACAGUUUUCCCUCAGUCUAUUCUAACAGUCCAAAACAGUCACAUCAAUUUACAAUUAAAACUAUCAACAAUUCUCCUUCUCUACACAUAGCCAGUCAAAAUUAAGCAUAUUAAUGCAUAACACAGUUCAAUCAACAUUACGUGUCAUCAAACAACACAUUCAAAUCUAUAUAACAGUCAAACUAUCUCAGUUCAAUGUAUCCAUCAACAUAUUCAAAUCUACAUAUAGCAGUCAAAUCCUUUCAGUCAAUACAUUCCAACUUUAACAUAGGGUCCAGUAGUAGAAAUUCCUUACCUUAACUUUACCUAAACUCCUUGGUCGAAAUCAAGUCCAAUGAACCAAACCUAAACAUAAAGAUCAGAAGCUCAAGACUUUCUUAAACAAUAUCAUCCAUUCAAUUCACCCAAAUGUGAAUUUCAUAACUUAUCCAAGUAGAUGGAGAAUCGAACUCCAACCAAAGUUGUUGGAAACUAAAGGAUUCGAGCACUAACUACCCAAUAUCACCUUCAAGGAUCAAAUGACAACCCAAUCAAUUACUCCAACAUUAAUACUUAAAAUAGUUAUGAAAAAGACAACCACAAAACCCAAAAAUUACAUCCUUACCACAAAAUGGCUCAAGUGGCUACAAGAAAAGGAAGAAAGCUAGUGGCUAAAAAAUGUCCUAAUAACGGGUAUAUCUACACGUUAUCAAUGACCUCAUAGAUAGGAUCACAAUACAGGUGGGAUAAAAGUUCAACAGACAAAGUUAACAGACACACCACACUCCAAAAGCAUGUAGCAACAUCAUAAACAUCAAUCAUAAUGUCUAUCAUGUGAUUGAUAUAUCAUGUGUCAUAACAUAUCAAUCAUCAACAUCAACACAUUAUGCAUAUUAGCUACAUCAAUGCAUAAUAAAGGAAGAAGUUGAGACGAGAGGAAGAAUCGGUGUCGUAGAAAGAUUUGAGGCGGUGAAGUUGAUCGUGAAGUAGGAAAGUGACGUGUGUGACCUAAAUGACCUAAAUAUCAUUGAUUCGGGUUGGGUUGGGUUGUUGAACUAAAUUCUUCAACCCCCAACCUGAUACCCAACCCAACCAGAAAAAAAUUAAAUCUUUUAACUCAACUCAACACUUAUAAUAUGGGUUUUGGAUAGUUCGGGUUAUUCUUAUGCCAUUACUUUUAGCCAUAAAUAGUAAACUUAUUUGUUUUAUUACUACAAGAAUUUUUGUCUUUACAGACGCAAGAAAACGUGGGCACAACUUCUACCGACGUUAUUUUUGUGUGGGCACGUUGCGUGGCUGAAACACCGUCGUCUUUUCCUUAGCCCUCGUUUUUUAUGUUGCGUUGGCAAAAAUGCCCACACAAAUUAAAAUCGUUGGCAGAAAAAAUAUUUCUAGCCACGAAAAAAACGUCGACAGAAAUGUGUUUUUGCCCAUGAUCAUCAUCCCAUCGGCAAAAAUAUAUUUUCUGGUCAUGAAAAAAACGUUGGCAAAAAGGUAUUUCUACCCACGAUCAUCAUCACGUCAACAAAAAUAAACUUUAUGUCCACGUUUGUUUCAUGGGCAAAAAUUGUUUUUUGCCAACAAAAAAGAUUUUUUCGGCAAAAAUAAAAUUUCUUCCCAUGCUAAAUUUAUUUUUAAAUAAUAUUUUAUUCGUUUUUGCCCAUGCACGAACGCCACACAAAGAACGUGGCAAAAACGAUUUAAAUUUUUCACAUUUAUUAUUAAUAUUGUAUGUUUCGAAAUAAAAUUUCAAAUAUAUAAUGAAUUUCUUGCCUAUAACAAAAUAUAUUGAACACUACAAACAAAAAUUUAAAAAUAAAAAUAUUUUCAACCAUUAAUAUUUUGUUAAAAUAUGACAAUCUAUAAUUCAAUAUACUUUGUCAAAAUAUGACAAACAAUAAUGCUCUAGUGUGCCAAGGUUCAUGAAAUAUAUUAUAUUUCAUUUUGGCAUACCAAAAUGAACAAAAAAAAUUACAUACACAAAAAAAUGGUUAACUUGGUUAGAAAGUCUUUAUGUCUCACUCCUGCAAACUGCAUAAACUUGAGAAAGGUACAUUAAAAUGAACAAGUCUCAUUUCAUUUUAAAGUGAAGGUUCAAAUUAAACAACGUGCAUAGCCUAAGUUAGGCAAAUAACUUCAAUGUUUACCUGUCUAAAUUAGGCGGCACAACAUUUACAAGAAACCAAAUCUAAAAUUUCAAUUAUAAUUAGGCAUGUACACAAAAAAAAAAACAUUAUUUCAAGUACGUGACCACCAACUAUUUGCAUAUUUCAGCGUAAGGUUUCUUGAUUCAAUCAUAUCCAACUCGAAAAUAAAUAUUUAUUUAAUAUUUUUACAAAACGGAAUGAUUUGCAAAUACACUGUAUAUUCUGGAUUAUAUUACAUCAUUUAACCUACACAAAUACACUAUAUCUACACCAAACGAUUUUGCUAUAAAUCAAAAUAUUUUAUCUAAAUUGUGUACUAAUAUAAAUCAAAUUUAGGCUAGCCGAACUUUCCGCCAUAUCUAUUCUCUUCUCACCUCAAUUAAAAAGGUGAAUAAAUUCUCAUUUAAUAUGUUUGGUAAAGUAAAAAUAAUAAUUCAAACGUUUUAAUUUUUCUUUCUAUGAAGUUGUUGAAUUUUAGUGCUUGUAUAUUCAAUAAAUAUUAUAUUUUAUUAAAAAAAUUUAGAUAAAAUUAUUGUAAUUUUAAUGCAAUAAAAUACAACAUGUGAAUACAUUUUGAAAAACUACAGUGAAAAAAGAUAAUAGUUCAUACAAAAAAUAACAAUAAAUUGUCUGAUAGUUGGGACUAAAUUUAAAAUAUAAUAAUAUUUUUCAUCCAAUAAAAUAAAUUUUGAAAAAUGAGUGAGAUGCUAAAAAAAAUGUUUACCUAUUAUUUUCUAAAAAUGUAGUUGAGACUAAAUAUAUAUUAAAGUUGUGAAAUUAGAUCUUUUAAAUGAGAAAUUAAAUUAAGCUAAACGAGGAUUCGUAUUGAAACAAUAAGAACUAUUUAAUCGAAAACUUUUUUUGACAUAAUAAUUGAAUUAAAAUGUGAUUCAAGAAUGUUAUAGAAUAAUUAAAAUGUUUAUCAUAACAAUAAUAAAGUAUUUAUUUUAUUUGAUGGGUGAAUUAAAAUUCACACACAUAUACAUACAAGUACAUGUUGAUCACAAAGUUCACACUUUGUUGGUCCAAAGAAGGUUACAUGAGGGAUGACUUUUUAGUCACUUUCAUUGGAGUUUUAUCACUCUUGCCAAGCAUUUGUCUAUAGGAUGAGAAAUAGGUAAGUAAUUCAAUUUGCAUUCAGGAUUAAGUCGCUCUAUCCUGCAUUUACCCAGCACGUAUAUUUAUCGAUAAUAUAUUUUUUAAAAGAAAAGUUGAAGACAAUUUAAUAACAAUUUUAUUUCAAUAGGUUCGAUCAUGAUUGGUAAUCAUUUUGUUUUUGGUUUUUGAAAAUUAAGCUUAUAGGGUACAUUUUCUUCCGUCUCUAAAUUUCUUGUUUUGAUAUGAAUGAAUGCAUAUAUAUAAAAAUAUUAAAUACAAUAACUUUAAUUUUUUCUUUUUUUUUAUUGUGAUUUUUCCUUUUUUUUUUUUUAUUGAAUCUCUUGUUUUCAAAUUCUCUACCAAAUAAACUUAGUUACUUGACGUAAUUGAUCACAUUUUUCCUUUUGUAGAAACAUUUCUAUAUAUUUAAAAAACAAAAGCGUAUUGAGCCUGACAAAUUUAUGUUUAUUUUGUGUCAAAAGUUUAUAGAAGAUAAAAAGUUAUAUGAAACUCACUUGUAAUUGAGGACAAAAUAAUGAAGAAAAAUUGAGAUCUCCAUUCUGGCAAGAUCACGUCCCGGGCACAUCCUAACUCCUAGUCCAAAAGGAGUAAAAGCACCUGGGCUUCCUCUAAAAUUCUGUUUAAAAAAAUAAGAAAAAUAUUUUCAAAUAUAGCAAAAUAAAUCAAAAUAUUAACAAAAUGUCAUUAUUUAUAAGUGAUAGAUGAUAGUACUCUAAUAAAUGAGUUUAGUUUAACUGAUAUUUGUAUGUUUUUUAGGACAAUUGGUUCCCGAUUUAAAUCAAAUCUACGUGGAUUUAUCAUAAUCUAUCUCUAAUGGAUAAUGAUAUUUUGUUAUAAUUUCUAAAUGUUGAGUUUCAUUUUUUACCAAGACUGUUGACUAAUUCCCACUUUUAAUCAAUUUUAUUAUUUUUAUCAACUAAUUAAAUUUUUUUCAUGAAUCUUUUUCUUUUAAAAUUAAAUGAAAAUUCCACAUCAUAAUUAUUUUAAAUAAAAUAAAAAAAAUAGCAUAAAAAAGAUGAGAAAGUACUAAUCAAACUUACUUAUCGUGUAAAACCAAAAAAAAAACUCACUUAUUAAAUAGAAACUAAAUUCAAAACUAUAACAGGUUGAAAUUCAAAAACCAAAUAAUGUCCAACAAAACUAAAAUUUAGGACUUUUAUAUAUAUAUAUAUAUAUAUAUAUAUAUAUAUAUAUAUAUAUAUAUAUAUAUAUAUAUAUCUCGAUUUGAGGAGACAUGCUAAAUUGAGUCAAUUUAUAUUUUGCAUCUAAAAAUUUAGUGGUUGAAUUAACAAAUUAAAAACAUAAAUAAAAAAUAAAAGAAUAUGCAUAAAUAAGUAGAGGUAUUUAAUAAAUGCAUACAUCCCAUCUUGAAGGAUUGAAGUGUUGAGGGGAAGGAUGUAGUUUUUGGUCCAUGUUAAGCCCUCGAAGCCAAAGUAUGACUCUCCAUCCCUUUGGUAUUAUUUUACCUAAAACAAUCAAAAUAUACAAUACAAAGUUAUUACAAUCACUCAAUAUAUAUAUACAGGAAAAAUAUUUUAACUUCCUUAGCUAGAAGGAUAUUACACAAACCCCUUUAUAGAAGGGUACGAUUUGAGACCUAAUUUGGGAUGAAUGAGAAAAAUAUAGCGAUCAACUAACCAUUAAUUUCAAUAUCUUCUGUUGCCUCACGAAAAGAAAUAAAUGCAACACUACUUAGUCGAAGCGUCUCAUCUAUAACCUGGAUAUUAUAUAAAAUAAUAUAUAAAAUUAAUAGUUAUAAUUCAAUAUUACUAGAUUUUGAAAAUAUGUACAAGGCAAGAGAGGAUAAGAGGGUACAUCAAAACAUCUCAACUUGGUUGACAUUUUGUGGUAGCACCCUCAUCACGUCACAAGACCAAAAGUGAUAUUAUUGAUUGAUGAAAAGGCACAAAACAAACUAGAGAUCAAAAACUCAAAAAGCUAUAUAAGAGAUUACAAAAUCGUUUUCCAGUUGAACUAUAUGUAGUAGCAAUUCUAUUUAGAUACUCUUGUUCAUGGUGUUUAUUGAAAAAUUAUUUAUUAUUCUAUGAUAAUCAUAUUAGUUAGAACUAGUUGUCAAACCCAAGAGUAACGUAAAUAUAUAUUUUUGUUUGAAUGGUUGUUUUCACGAAAGCCCUCAUGAUUAAUGACCGUACCUGCCCUCUCACAAACUUUUAAAGUAUUCUAACUUAUUUCUUAUUCGGUUAGGAUGACUAUUAUCUCUAUAUGCCAUUUAUUUUUUAUCAUAGCUUGUUAGAAUAUUCCAUAAAUACAGGGUAAGACAUUAUGAAAAUCAAUCUUUAUGCAUUAGGGGUAUGGUUACGUGAAUAUAUAGGGUGGGGAAAUCACAAUCUUUAUAGCGUAUAAUUGCAAUAGAAAGUCGUCCUCAUCUAAUUAGGACUAUGAUAUACAUGGUUAUCCUUUAAAAUGUGGUAGUGUGCUAUUACUUAAUUCAAAAAGUUAUAUUUCAUAAAUUUGUGAAGAUGAUAAAUCUUUAAUCUUGAAGGGAUCAAUCGUAGAAAAGUUCUCAACAAUUAAUCAUGAAAAAUUUUAACAUUAAUUCUUUUAUGUUAAGAAUUUAAAAACAUUAUGCAAUAAAAAUUGAUUACCAACCGAAGUUAAAGUUCAAAAUUAAAAGAAGCAACAAUAUAAUCAGCAUUGUGAUCUUAGAACAUACUAUAUUCAAUUCUGAAAGGUAUAGUAAUAUAUGAUUUUGUGCCUAAAAAAAGAUCAAAGGAAAUUAAUUAAAAUUAUAAAAAUACCUGAGAAAGAAAUUUCAUUUGUUUAAUUUCUGAUAGACUUACACCCUUUUGUGUUGAGGCUCUUCUUCUGAUGAUAUCUUCUUGUUCUUCCUAAAACCAAUCUAACACUUAACCAUCAAAAUAAUAAUUCAUUUCAUAAUAAUAAAAUUAAUAAAAAAACAUUUUAUUACUAUGUUAUCCAUGUCGUGAUCAUAUGGCUAUUGUAUUAAAUUUUCAGAUGUUCCGUUGAUAUGUCAAUAUUUUUUACUUUUCAAACAGUUUAACAUCGACUUGAAGUGAAUCAAUAUAUAUAUAAUAAAUGGUGUAAUAUAAAUAAUAAUAAACAUGCUAAUCUGGUUUAAAUAUCACAAUAAUAAUAGGUUUAUUUACUAAUUUAAAUUUAUUUUUUAUUUUUUUACUUUUCUAAUUUUCUAAGUAAUGUCCCUUGACACGAACAUUUUAACGAUACAUUUUCAUUCAUAUUUUUACAAAAGUAGUGUUUUGAUGGUUUUGUCGGUAUUGAUAUAUUUUUCAAACAACCAACACAAACAUGCUUUUUUUUCGAGAAAAACACCAUAUAGCGUCUCUUUAUCAUGUAUCUCAAAAUUAAAAUAGCAUACUUUAAAAUGUCGAUAUGAUUUGUAGUCUAAAUCUUGAUCAUAUGUAUCUUAAUUAAGUUUCAUUUAUAUCUCAUACACAUUAUUAUGCAAUUUAAACAUGAGUUAGGAAAUUAAAGAAGAGUCUAACCUUGGCCUUUUGGAAUACUUGUGGAUUAUCUGUAAGAAACAAAACUGCCCACAUUGUAGUGAAAGCUGUAGUCUCUUGGCCUCCAAAUAGCAUACCAAAAAUUAUCUCUGUAAUGGUCUCAUCGUCAAAUCCUUCACCAUCUUCAUCUCUCACUUCCAUCAACAAAUCCAUCAUAUCUUUUGCUUCCCAAUUUUCCCCUUUGCUUUUCUUCACCAUUCUCUUCUCAUCCACAAUUGAUUGAAGUAUUUCAUUCAAUCUUUUUCCAGCCUACAUAUAAUUUAUACAUUUCUUUUUGUUAUACCAUAUGAUAUAGUGAAUUGUAGAUUAGAUUAAUUUAAAAUAUAUGUCACAUAUAUAAUAAAAGUUAUCGAAACUCUGUCACAUUUAUAUUAGAAAUGAUUUUUGUUCUAACCAUGAGUGCUUUAUGGAAGGGUAAGCCAGGAAAGUUGAGUGGCAGGGUUAAGAAUGCAAGUGCAAUAUUCUCAUUCAAAGUCUCCAUUUCUCUUAUAGAAGUGCUUUUUAUUGGAGUUGAACCCAUAAAAAUGUUCCAAAUAACUUUGAAGGUAAGUUGCUUUAUCGUUGUUAAUAAUUCCAAUGGCUUCUUCAUGCUUGACCAUUCCUCCAACCCACUAAUCACAGUGUGUUCAAUAUGAUCAAUGUACAUCUCGAGCGCUGCAUGGCCACUGAUCGGUGCCAUUGUCAGCCGUCGGAGCUUCCGAUGCUCCUCUUUCGGUACUUGAAGCAGUGAUUUUUUACCAAAUACGGCUGUGAUGGAUGUAGGAUAACUAGGAAUGAACUUGGUUUCAUCAGUUAAUACUUGACGACAUAUUUCAGGUUUGCAGACGAUUAAAGUUGGUUUUCCAAAUAUGUGAGUCUUGUACAUAUCAAUUUUCCCAUAUCUAAUCAAAGAAGAAGAAAAGGAAAAAUAAAAUAAUUAGUAACUACUUGGAAGCACGUGAAAUCUCGUAGUUUUAAUUUUAAAGAUAAACAUACCAUACUUUUAAAUCAAAUUAAUAUUCUAUAGUUUUACUCUAUAGUGUAAAAUUUUUUGUUUCAGAAUUCAGUACGUAUUUUCACAAAAAAAAAAAAAAAAAAAAAAAAAGAAGUUAUAAUACGGUACAAAGUAAAAGAUUAUGAUAGUCAUUAAUAUAUUAAUACUCUAGUAAUGAUUUCAACGUUUGGUAACAUUUUGGGUAAUGUCGUAACAAUUUUUUAUUUUAAUUGUGGAUCAAUAUUUUGUUGAUUAAGAUAUUGUGUAUAUUACAUUACAAUAACCAAUGGAUAAAUAGGCCACCUAUGCAACAUAAAUAAUGUAAGAAGAAAUGUGAUUAAGCCUCACUUGUAGAAUUUACAUUAAUAUUAAUAAUGUUUUCACAUGUCUACCAUAUAUAUCAUAUAUAUGGAAGUUACUAUCAUACCUAAAAGAAUAACAAUUUUUAUAAAAAAAAAACAAUAACAAAUUUUAUAAAUAAUACUUUUUGUCGAUGUAAGAAGAUAAAGAUUUUUUCCAUUACUUGUGUUGGAGGGCUGAAAAUUAUAUUUUAAAAGAGAAAAAGAAGAGAACGUAUAAAAAAAUUAUUGUCAAAACUCUCAAAAAAGUUAGAAUCUAUUCAUGAUAGACAUUGAUACAUUUCUAUCCAUGUAUAUAAAUAUUUUUUAAAACGUUGAAAGUUUAAUUAUUUAAUAUCGGUUGUGAGUUGCUUUUUGAUCUAUUUACUUUGCAAAUGUUUGCAAAAUCAAAAUCAUGUUUUGGAGAAGUAAAAGUUACUAAAGAAAACUAUUAGUUGUGGAUUUAGCUGUGAGAAUAUGACAAAGAAUUAUAUGCUUGAGAAAGAUGAAACUAUGAUGACAAUAAGAGAUACGGGAGAAAACACAAACAAAAUUUUCAAAUCUCCAAAACCAAAUAACACAGUUGCCAAAGAGUUGACUAACUAUUACAAUUUUUUUUCUUUUGACGAUUUAUAGUGAGUUCCACGAUCUCUUCUAAUCAAUGUUCUUUCACAUAAUCAUUUGAUUUUCAAAAUUCAAACUUAUAUUAGAGUUUUUAAACGUUGGCUUAACUUUAAUCUUACCAGGGUCGAAGGAACAAUGAAUUAUCUAGACAUUUCAACUAGGUUGACAAUUGACAUACUUUCUAAAGCCCAUGCAUCAUACCUCAGUCCAAAAAUGCAUUAAUAUAACAAAAAGGUUGACACCGAGGCAUCUCAAAUUUCGACCUAACUUUUAAUUAGGGGUGUAAACAAGUUGGGUUGGGUUGGGGGACAUUCCCAACGAGUGACGAAUCUAAAAAAAUUAUUGACAAAGGGUUUGAGUUGUAACUUAGAGAAAAAAUAAAAAUCUAAAUAAAAAACUACACAAGUUGGGUUGGGUUAGUUGGGUUGGCAACCUAAAUAUAUAGUAUUUCCAACCCAACCGAGUGGAUGGUAUGUUUUUUCUUUCAUUUCUAAUAUUUGUUAAAUUUAAAAUUUUUGUGCGGGUCAUAUUGAUAAAUACACACAUUCAAAAAUUCAAAUCUUCAAUGAACACAAAGAAGGAGAAGUUAAGACGAAAGGAAAAAUAAGAUAACGCGCUGAUGACAGUGUGGGAUGAGCGAGGUUGAGACAAGAGGAAGAAUUGGCACCAUAGAGAGAUGUGAGACGGUGAACUCGUGAAGUAGGGAAGUCUCGUGUGUGACCUAAAUUUAUGCUAAUUAAUUAAUAAUAAAAUAUAUAUAUAUAUAUAUAUAUAUAAUUAAUUUCGGUUGGGGUUGUUGAAACGAAUUCUUCAACCCUAAAUCCAACAAAAAAAAAAAAAACUAUUUUUUUAACCCAACCCAACCCAAAUUUUAAACUAAUCCAACUCAACUUUUAUAAUAUGGGUUAAGUAGUUCGGGUUGGAGAGUUAUUCACAUUAUUCGGACUAUUUCUACACUCCUAGUUUUGGCUAUAAAUAAUAAAUUUAGUUGUUUUAUUAUCCAUUUUUUUAUAGUUUUAAAAAUUAAGUCAAAAAUAAAAAAUAAAGAAAUAAUAUUGUUGUUUGGAAUUUAACGUUUCUUAAUUGAUAGAAUAAUGGUGAGAAAUACAAGGAAAACACACACAUUUCCAAAUUUGAAAACUAGAAAACAAAAUAUUGUUAACUUGACAUGUUUAAAGAAAAGCGGGUUUUGAAGUUGAUUAUUGUUUCUAUCAACUCAACCACGAUGAUAUUUAUAGGUUAAUUCAAUGACGAUAAUAGUAAACUUAACUCUGAUCUAAACACUCCAAAGUUUCUUGUUGUAGUAAUUGAGUAGGGUUUUUUUAUAUAUAUAAUUUUGAGGAUAAAGAAUUGAAUUUCUAACUUUAAGUAUUUUUUUUAACAAAGUAGAACAAGAUCAAGGGGUGCAUCGAAAAAUUUCAACUAAAUUAACACUUGCGUAUGUAGCACACUCAUCAUAUCUCGAAACCAGUUGUUAUAUACAUACCUGAUGUCAUGCUAAACUAUAAUAUAUAUACACAUGAAUUCAUGAAUUUGAAUAACAUAACUAAUUUAAAAGAAGGUUUUCAAAUAAAUAAGAGUGGAGAACUUAUUUGAAAAUCAUUAUUUGUCUCACAAUAUAUUAUGUGUAGAAUAUGGAUGGCUGGAUGCAAAAGAGUGAGGACAUAUAUACCUUCUUGAGAAGUCACGAAUGAAACCGUCUGGUGGACCAAAAGUGAAAUAUUUGAGAAAGGAUAGAGUAGAACCAAUAAGUGGCCAAGAUAGAUCACCAGGAGGAAGUUCAUCCCAUUUCUUCCCUAAUUUCAAUGCAUAAUACAAAUUAUUCAAUCUCUUCAAAACCCCAAACCCUAAAACAAAACCCACAAAAGGAACAAUCAACAACAACCAAUUUAGCAUCAACUCCAUUAUUUUGAUAUUUCUCUCCACUUCAACACACCUUUUCUUUUUAUAUCAACAUAUUUUUUGGCUUAUUCACAAUUCUAUUUUUUUAUUGCUCAUCUCUCUAACUAAAUGUUCAUAAGUAUAUUAUAAUUAAAGUAAUAAUUCUUGGUGUUGAAUCUCUCAUUCCCACUUCCCAUGUUACUCCUUUUAUUAUUAAUAUUUCGUUAAAUUAUACAAAAUAUUCUUUGAGUUUCUAUUUUGGGUAAAAAAAAUUCCUCGAAACUUUUAAAAGUUUUCAAAUACCCUUAAACUUUAAAAGAUGGUUAAAAAAUACCCCGUAACUAUUGGAGAGUUUCAAAAAUAUAUAUCAUUGAACAUGCAAAAUGUUUUUAAAAAAAUACUCUCACAAUUAAUAUAUGAAAUGAUGUUAAUAUCUCAAUGCAAAAAUCGACAAGAAUCAAUUUAAAAAUAAAUUAUAUUGGCCUUCAUUAUUUGGUCAUUGACAAUUUUGUUUUAAGGUUUUUUUUCCAUGUUUUGAAAAUUAAGCCUAUUUACGCUACUUUUCUACCUCCAAUCUUUUCUAUUUUCUAUUUGUUAUCUACUUUUUGUUUAUCUUUGUAUUGAGAACAAUAAGAUAUGUGUGUGAAAAAUCAAUUGACCAAACUUUUAAAAACGAAUAUAUUAAAUAUCAAUGUGACAAGUGUGUCAUGUUCACACUUCUAUGAUACUUCACCUAAGAAAUUAACGAAUCAAAGGAAAAAGUAUAAAACUCAAAUACCAAUAACUUACUUAUUACGAAUCAAAUACCAAUAACUUACUUAUUACAAACAGUUCAUGAAGCUUUUAUGACUUAUUCUAUCUAGGAGAAAUCUUAGGGUUUAUCUAACCAUUCGAUGCGAGAAAAACCAAUUUCGUGAAUCUAAAUUUAAUGAAAUAGAUCAAAUAUUGAAAAAAAAGCCUAUGAAAGAUAAAGUAGAUUUAUCUAAUUGGAUCUAACCCUAACUUAUUAGGAUUAGGAAAGAACUAUCCCACUCUUAUAAUUUUAAGAGAAUAAAAGGUAAACUGAUAUGACUCAUUUUUCAUAUAAACAUGUCAUUAAUUAUAAUCCACCAACAACAUCUUAAACUUAAUUAUUAUUUAUCAUUAUACAAUUAUAAUCCAUCUUUAAUUAAAAGAGACAAAUGAAACCAAUAUAUAUAGUUAAUUUUAAUAAAGAUUUGAGGUUUCAGUUGGUGGAUCUAUAUAUUAAAUAGAUAUUUCAACAAUUUUAUAGUUAUAUAUUUCUUUUUGUAUAGUGUUCCAAUUGCAGUCCGUUUAAAUGUAAGACUAAAAAAAACCUUGUUUAUCUUACAAGCAACUGCAGAAUAAACAAAAACUCUCUUCUUCUUUUUUUUUUUUUUUUUUUUUUUUAUCUUAAUUGUAGGUUGGGAUGUCCUAAUUGUGCAUUUAGUGGGAGAGAUGUCUUUUCAUACCUUUUCUUUUCUUACUAUUAUUAUUUGAUUAUUUUAAUUUAUAAGAUCGACUACUCUAUCUCAAGUUCCAACCAUCUUGGUUAGAUAAGUAAUUUAAGUGUCCAAUCAUAAUUUAUUACAUGUCAAACUCUCUUGUCAUUGAACAUGAAUGUGUAAUAUAUAUGCUUAAGAGAUAUUCUACAUUUUUAUAAUUAAAUGUUCUACAAAUAAUUAAAUGUAAUAUAUAUGCUUAAGAUACUCCCUCUCUCAAGAACUUGAGCUCCCCUCAAGUAAUUUAUGGUACUCCCUCCCACAAUAUUGUAUAUAUUAUCUUUUCGUUGAACAAAAUCUUCUUCGUUUGAAUGACUUAUGCUCCUAGAACCUAACAACUUUAAAUAAAUUUAUUACUAUACUAACGAUAGAGACAUUUUUAAUUUAGAGUUAGUUUUGCAGUGAGAUGCAGGUUCAGUUCAUAUACUAAUUGUGAGAGUAAUCUUUUAACUUUUUUUUUAAGUUCAAAGGUAUUUUUUUAGACAAAAUUUUAACGGUUUCCAUCUAAAACUAACAAUAAGAGUAGUUUUGAUCCAUUUUUAAAAGUUUGAAGGUAUUUUUGAAACUUUUAAAAUUUUUAACUGAAAAUGUAAAGUUGAGGAAUAUUUUGUAUAAUUUAGGGCUGUUUUUAAUUAAGAAAAAACUAGCCAAUCGAAUUUUUUUUUCUCUUAGGUCGACUAUUACAUUUAUAUUAGAAAUUUUAUAACAUUUAGAUUAGAAUGUGAACGAAGCACCGUAUUGGCCGGAGAUCUUUUGGUGGGUUGUCAAUGUCUCAACCAUGUUUGAGCUUAGACAUUGUAAAAGUUUCAUUUUUGUUCUUGAAUUAAUUAAAUUUAUAUAUAUAUAUGCUUUGUACCUUUUCAUUCAAAAAUGAAUCAUUUUUUUAUAUUGGAGCAUGGUAAAGGUGCUAAGGAGGGGGUGUUGAUACUAGUUGAGAUGUACCUAUUGAUUUCCUUGACUUUAUGUAUAUUCUCAAGAUCAAAAGACCUAUUAAACAUGAAGUUGGAAGUCUUGAAAUUUAUUAAAUAUAGGAUAUUUUAUAAGUUUUAGGUUCAUAUGGAAUUAAAUUGUAUAUAUACAUAAUUGUGUUUUGUGUUUGAUCACUCAUUAUAUGAUUGCAUUAUUAAAUUAAAAGUCAUCAUGUUUUUAAAUCAAGAGAAAUGUUAAUAGUAUGAGAUAGUAUGAGUUUCCAUCUCAAAAUCAAUUGGCAAUUAGAAGAGAAGUCCACCUAUCUUAUAUGAAGUAUGAGUCUCCUUGGUUUUUCCAACGUGAGACUCUCAACUUCUCCAAUAAGAACUUCUAGGAUAUGUAUUAAAUUUUAAGUUUUAAAUAGAUUAAAAAAAAAAAAUCGAUUGAGGGAUUGCAAAUGGUAAAAAUCAUCUCUAGAAUACAAUUACACCUUCAUACUUUCAAUAACAACAAUUUAUCCCCUAAACUUUUUAAAAUUAGAAUCUCGAGCUUAUAAUUAAUUGUAAAAAUUGAACCCAACGAUGAUAAAAAUUGAAUCCUCAAACUUAUAUAUCAUAUCAAUACAAUUAUGUAAGUUUCGAAGGUUUCAGUUUUAAAAUUUGUAUGAGUUUGAGAGCACAUAAUUGUAUUAAUUUAACACCAUACAUUACAGAUGUUUUUGCAAUUUGUUGUAUUAUUUAUUAUUUAUCUUUUUUUUAACCCCUAAAACAAAACCCAAACAAAGGAACAAUCAACAACCAACAACCAACUUAUCAUCAACUCCACUUUUUUUUUAUAUUUCUCCACACCUUUGCUUUUGAUGAUACUGAAUACAAUUUUCUAUGGUUCACAUGUAUUAUAUAUAAUUGUCCUUGGUGUUGAAUACGUAGAUUAGAGACAAUCUUAUUGUUAUUAUUAUUAUUAUCAUUGAUAAGAAAAGGCUAAAUUGACAAUCUUUUUUAGUUAAAUUUAUGAAAGGUUUCAAUAUUAUUUUACAAAAGUAUAUCUUUCGGAGUUAUUUUUAAAUCAAUUUGAAACAUGACUUUUACUUAUUAUUUAAACCUUUUUUUUUUUUAGUUUUCAACUCCAUUUUUAUUAUUGGGUCGAGGACAAUUUUGGCUUUAGGUUAUAUAUAUUGGGAAUCACGAAAGUUAUUUUGAUGCGUUUGGAAGGAAUAAAAGUUCAUUAAUUAAUUUUAAAUUCUAUGAGGUUGAAAUUUGAAAAAAAAAUUAAAUUAUAUCUUUAUUUUUGUUUGGGAUGAGAAAGAUGAACUUCAAUUAAUGUGUUUUUAAGUUUUAUGUUUAUAGCUAAAAGAGAAGGUUUGGUACAUCAAUCGGGCAUAUUGAACAGUCCAUAUAAUUUGCAUGUUAACAAAGCUAAUCUCCUCUAGAAAAAAAAAGUUUAGUCAUUUAAGUUAUUUUUAAAAAGACAAAUAAAAUAUUAUACACUUAAUUAUUAUUCUUAAAAUUGUUACUUAUUACAUUCUAGUUUUUCAUAUGCAACCUUCAAAGUUUGGCACAUAGUCUAAAGAAAGAAAACAAUUACAUUCGCUUUGAUUUUACAUAAAUGUCUUAAAACACUACAAGAUUUCAAGGAUCUCCCAACAUUGCAGUGCAUCGCCAAAAAAUCAUUAUGCGUUAGCAUAGGCUCUUACAACGUAGAAAGCAACGUGGAGACGUCUGCGUAUCCCCUUAUGCCGACGCACGAUGUGCCGACAUAGUUAACACAUCGGUCAAAAACUUUUGUCGACAUUGGGGCAGGACAUUGACAAUAACAUAGAGCUGACGUCUUGGUGUGCAUCAUUGUAGGACAGACCGACGCGGCAUCGACCUAGCGUCUAAUGAACACCGCAUCAUUAAAUGAUGCCAUUCGCAACGCGGCGUCUGCGUCAGGAAAGGUUUCACCAAUUUUUUUAAAAAAAUUGUAAAUUAAUUUUUGGUUGUAUGAGGUUCGAAUUCGAUUUAAUUUGAUUGAAAUUGUAAAAAAAAAGUAACGUAAAAUUAAUAAAACAUCAAAGUAAAUAUAUAUUAAAAUUAAUUAAAAUAUUCCAAAAAAAAUAAGUUUCGUGCGUAGAAAAAUUAUAAUAAACCUAAGCUAAAAACAAAAAGACCACAAACUAAUCUAAACGAUACACAUAUAGUAAUCCUCUCAUGCCUUCCAACCUACAAUGACAACAAAUUAAAGUAUAAAUAUAUAUAUCUGUUGGAAUUUAUGUCCUAAAACUCGUAGAUUGAAAAUAUAAUUCAUUGACCGUUGUUAAUAAAGUGUUAUUAUUGCAUGAGAUACUCUCACUCGCAUGUCAACUAUGUGAAUGUGUCGGAUCAUUGUGUUUGUAUCAAAUACAAAGUAAGUCGUAUUUAUAGUGUUACUAGGAUAAGUUACUCUGUAUUAUCCUUAUACUAUAAACCCUUUAAGCAUAUCUCGAACAUUGAUCCAUGUAUGUCUCUACAUACUGUUCAAGACUCAUUAAACAACUUAGGAUAUUAGUUUAUUAGAUUUGGGUUAUUAAGACAAAACUAAUAAUAUAAUCAAAAGCAUUUAUUAAAAAUAUAAUAAUAACAUUUUAUUAAUAAUAGUCAAUAGAUUAUAUUUACCAUCUAUGAGUUUUAGAACAUAAAUCUCAUUAGGAAACACUUUCUAGCUUCUCCCUUUGAGUUCAUCCUAGAACUCUUCUCUUUGCCUUUCGAGCUCUUUUUGUCACUACUUCCUUUGGUCGUUAGUAACACUCCAUCCAUGUGUUCUUUUUUAUAUAUUUUGAGAUAUCUAGCUUUCAAGGGAUCUAACACUAUAUUCAUGGUCAAAGAGUCUCGACCAUAAUUAAAAGAACCACUGCUUGAUUUUCAUCUGACAUCUUCACACCGAUGUUAUUGAGAUAUAAUUCAUUUGUCAAGGAAAUUUUGUCAAGUUUAAAGAUUCUUUAGCUUUUUCCGUAACUCCCCUGUAGUAGUAGCCUUAUCCACUAGCCUAAGCACUGUAUCUGAAAGAUACAAAAGGAUUGUCGAAUAGGCAAAUUCAUCCAUAUCCCUUUUCUCAUCUUCGGUAAUAGUUUCUUAAAGGUGCUCUUCAUCUAAGAUUUUUGUUACUUUUUGCGGAACCAAUGUAGCCCUAAUCUUUUUCCUUCAAAGGUCAAAAUCACAUUUCCCAUUCAAAUCAUGUUAAAGCCAUUAUUACAAAAAAAGAAAAAAAAAUCAAGAAUAUGCCAAACUGCAAACUACUACACAAAACCCAACUCUUUUUUGUAUCAAAUAGAGCUCUAUACCACUUGUUGGGAAUAUAUACACCAAGUUUUGUUAUCACUUAUUAUGACUAUAUCAAGCGUCCAACCACUUGGUAUAAUUUCCUGCAUUGCACCAGAGAAUACAAUGUCAAACCACCCAGAACGCAAUAGCCAAAUAAUCACAAAUUAAGAAAGCGAUAAAAGAGUAAACGACACAAAGAUAUAUAGUGGUUUGACCAAAUUGGUCUACAUCCACUUUGAGAACCAGCUUGGAGGGAUUUUAUUAAGAGCAAAAACAUAUAUAUAGGGUAAACGACACAAAGAUAUAUAGAAAUUUUAUGUAGGUAGUUUGGAUAGAAUAACCAAAUCAAUUAGUUAGUCUACUAAGGUAGGUAGAAAAUUACUCCCAAUAUGGUAACUUUAUUAAAUUGAUUUUUGUGUUAAUAAAAGUUUCCUGUUAUUUUGAGAUGAAUGCUAAUGUUAGUAUUAUUUUCAAAUUAAAAAAAUCUCAUCAUUUGAAGAAAUGAUUUUGGGUACAAAUAAUCUCUCUUCUUCAUCCAACAACAAAGGAAAAUGCCAUACAAAAUAACUCUAGAAAUUUUUUACAACCUUCCCAUUCUCUCUUCUUCAUCUAAACCUCUAAGUUUCACAGCCCUUCUGUUUGUAGCCACCUAUUUUUAUCCUACCAAUAUUCAAAAACAAAUAUAUUAGUAAUAAUGGUUAAAAUUUUUAUUUAUUUAUUUUAAAAAGGUAAAAAUUUAGUAAUAACAUAAUAUCUCAUUUUUAUUGUUUUAAAAAAUAAAAACAAAUCCAUUUAUUUUAAAUAAAAUCUUUUAAUAUCAAAGAAAUUAUUUAGUUUUAAAUAAAAUAUUUUUUGAAAACUUAUUUCUAUUCAUUUUAGGAAAAAUUAAAUUAAUAAAAUGUUUGACUUAUUUAUAUCAUUUUAGGAAAAAAAGAAAAUCAAUUUUAAACAAAAAUAAAAUCUUUUAAUAUUUAUUUAAUUUAUUAAUUAUUUUUUCACAAAAUUUCAAAAUAUCUCAUUUAAUUUUAUUUACUUAUUCUAAGAAAAUGAAAUUUACUUUAUUAAUAUAAUAUCAAAAUUUGAUUUUAUUCUUAUUAUUUUUUCCUAAUUUGUGGUAAACUUUGAUUUUAUAAAUAAGGACAAAAUGGCUUAGAAAAAAAUAGUUAGAGUAAGUAAAAAAAAUUAGAGAGAUUAUCUUAAAUAUGUAAGUUUUCUGAUUCAUUUCAUUAGUUAGUGUCUUUUACUUCUUUUUUAUUCUCUUUUUUUUUUCCUCCUUAGCAAACCAAAUUCCACGUUGAAUAGAUUUUGUUAGAGGUUGCAUGUGAUAGUGAUUUACUUCCAAAGAUGUGCACAUCAUCUACGAGUAAUUUUAUUUGGAAUUUGAAAUCUUUUCUUUUUUCUCUCUUCUUUUAAGAAGAAGAAACAUAUAUGAAUUUUUCUAUUAUUUUUUGGUUUUAUUCCAAGUAAAGUUUGGCAGAUUAAUCUCAUCUAUCUGACCGAUUGUAUUUGUAGAUCACAAAUUAUAUAUUAUAUGAAAUGAAAAGGAAAUUUAUCAUUUCUUUUACAGUUAUGUAAUGGCACUCAGGUAUAGUAGUCAUGCCUCUACUCUACCAUUAUGUAUUUAUUGUUGUCUAAGUGACUUCAACAAUUCAAUUUAUUAAUUUCAUGAAGUCAGUAGGUUGAUUUUAAAUUACCAGCAUGAACAACCUGUUGGAGAAGCUUAACAUUACACUUGUUUUGUUUACAUUUGAACUACUCAAAUUUCUAUCUCACAAUCGCUAAAAUAGGACAUUGUUUUUUAAAAGAAAUUAAAGAAUUUUGACAUAAUAAUUGAGUUGAUUAUUUAAUGAUUCAAGAAUGUUAUAGAGAAAUUAAAGAAUUUUGACAUAAUAAUUGAGUUGAUUAUUUAAUGAUUCAAGAAUGUUAUAGAGAAAUAUAAAUGUUCAUCAUAUAUAACACAAUGAUAACGUAUUUAUUUUAUUUGAUGGGUGAAUUAAAAUUCACACAUACAUACACACACAAGUACAUGUCAUAUAUAUUUAGAAGCUUAAUACAAUAAUCAUAAAGUUCACACUAAUUGGACCAAAGAAGGUUACAUGAGGAUGAGGGAUCACUUUUUAGUCGGUUUUUGAUGGAGCUUUCAUGACUCUUGCCAGACAUUUGUCUGUAGGAUAAGAAAUGGGCAAGUAAUUCAAUUGGCAUUCAGGAUUAAGUCGCUCAACCCUGCAUUUAUCAAUGAAAACAUUUCCAUCACGUUUUUAUUGAAUAUGUUAUUAUCAAAUUCUUUACUAAAUAAACUUAGUUAGAUCACGUUUUUCAUUUCUUAGAUAAAUUACUAUUUAUUUUUUUUAAAAAAAAAACAUCUUGAGCCUAACAAAUUUAUGUUUAUUUUGUGUCAAAAGUUUAUAGAAGAUAAAAAGUUAAUUAGAUAAAACUCACUUGUAGUUGAGGAUAAAAUAAUGAAGGAAAAUUGAGAUCUCGAUUCUAGCUAGAUCACGUCCCGGGCACAUCCUAACUCCUAAUCCAAAGGGAGUAAAAGCACCUGGACUUCCGAUGAAAUUCUGUUAAAUAAGAGAAAGUAAGAAAAAUGUUUUGAAGUAUAGCAAAAUGAAUAUAUUAAUAUAACAAAAUGCUAUUAUUUAGAUUAUGAUAUUGAUAGAAUUUUUCAACGUGAGCGUCGCUUAAGAGACAUUUGCAUGUUUUCCAUAAGUUCAAAUUCAUUCAAUCAAGAGUUUAUUAAAGAAAAUAAAUAUAAAAAAGAGUAUGAAUAAAAUUAUAUUCAAAGCUUAUGACCGAUAUAUUUAUAUAUCAUUUUUAGGAGGCAUGCUAAAUUUAGUCCAUUUAUAUUUUGCAUCUAAUCUUUUGAUUAGUGGCUGAAAAAAUUAAAAACAUAAAUAGAAAAUAAAAGAAUAUUCAAAUAAUUAAGUAGCUGAGUGUUUAAUAAAUGCAUACAUCCCAUCUUGAAGGAUUGAACUGUAGAGGGGAAGGAUGUAGUUUUUCGUCCAUGUAAAGCUCUCGAAGCCAAAGUAUGACUUUCCAUCCCUUUGGUAUUAUUUUACCUAAAAACAUAAUACAAAGUCGUUAUUACAAUUACUCAAUAUACAGGGAAAAUAUUAAUUUGGGAUGAAUGAGAAAAAUAUAGUCAUCCAGAUCAAUUCUCUUAUUUGUUAACUAACCGUUAAUUUCAGCGUCAACUGUUGCCUCACGGAAAGUAGCAAAUGCAAUACUACUUAGGCCAAGCGUCUCAUCUAUUACCUGGAUAUUAUACAAAAUAUAUAUAGAAUUAAAAGUUAUAAUUCAAUAUUACUAGUUCGAUUUUGAAAAUAUAGACAAGGUAAGAGGGAAUCAGGAAGUGCACCAAAACAUCUCUACAGCACCCUCAUCACAUCCCAAAGACCAAAAGCGAUAUCAUUCACAUACGGAAAGGUACAUAACAAACUAGAGAAAAGUUUAUCAAAAGAGUUAUAUAAGAGAGAUUACAAAAAUGCUUUCUAGUUGAGAAAAUUUAUUUGUUAGAACUAGUUGUGUUAAAUUGAAGAGUAACAUAAUUAAGAAAUAUUUGUGUGAAUGAUGGGCUGUUUGUUAGAAUAAUAGUCCAUAAAUAUAGGGUAAAACAUUUAUGAAAAUCAGUCUUUAUUGCAUUAGGGACAUGGUUACGUGUGAAUAUAGGGUGAGGAAAACACAAUUUUUAUGGCGUGUAUAAUUGCAAUAGAUAGUCCUCGCCAACUAAUUACCACUACGAUACAAAUGGUUAUCCUUAACAAAAAUGUGGUGGCAUGCUCUUACUUGAUAAAAAAUAAUUUCAUAAACUUGUGCAAAGGACAAGUCCUUGAUCAUAAAAGGAAACAAUUAAAUAAUUUUGUCCUGUUCCCCGACAUCAUGCAGACGACAUCGAGAAAUGGGGGGUCUCCCGACAUGUUCGUUGUUCGUCGGGAGUUCCCCAAUAAAAAGAGGUUUUCAAUUCUGUAAUUCACAUAAACGAAAAAGAGAAGGCCGAGAGAGUUGAGAGAGAGACCAAGAAGGAGACAACGCCAUGUUGUCCCUCGCUGUUGUCUGUGUCCCGUCGUUUGACAUUGCCUCACUGUUGCUUCUCUUCACUUCAAUAAGUUGGUUUUAGUUUUAGUUUAGUUAAUUAGUUUUAGGAUUUGGAUUUUGAAAUUGUUUUAGGAUUUAGAUUUUGAAUUAGUUUUAGGUUUUAAUAUUGAAUUUGAAUUUGAAGUGUUUUUAGGAUUUAAGAUUGACGUUGAGAUUUAUUUUGGCUAUCAUGCAGUUAUGGUAGCCUUUAGUUCAAACUUUUUUUUUUAUUUGUCACUAACUUUGUUUAUUGGAAAUGUUAGGUAGUUGGUAAAAGAUUGAAGUAAUUUGUGGGUUUCUUAUGGCUAUCCUGCCGUUAUGGUAGCUUUUUAAAGUCAAAAUUAGUUUCUAAUUUGUUAGUAGUUUUGGGGGUUCGAGGUGUUAGGUAGCUUAUAAAGUAUGUUGGAAGUGUUAGGUAGGUUUUAAACUUUAACUUUAAUUUAGUGAAAGUUGGGAGAUUGGGCAUAAUUCAUGGAGUAGUUUUGGAGGUUCGAUGUGCGACUGACGACUUCAUAGAUGAUGAUGAUAAACAAUUAUCACAUCAAAGCAGAUAAGGCGACGAUGAAUUUUGAAAUUUGCGUCCACGGCAAUAAUUAGAAGAUGGUGUAGUUUUUUUCCUUUUCAUGUAAUUGUUUUGAAUAAUUUACAACUUGUAAUUUUUGUUAUACAUUCGAAUUUAGUAUUUAAUUUUAUAAAUUGUAAAUUAUUUAUUUUAAUAAUUAUUAUAAUUUUUGUUUGUUGUCUUUCGAAUCGAAACCUAUAUAUAAUUUCUCCCGAUGUUGCUUGUCUGUCAGGAAUAAGUUAUUCUUUGACGGCAUAAAAAAUGUGUCUAGGAAAGCUUCUCCUGACGUCACGUCAGAAGAAAGUUACGCCCGACACACUAAGGAGAUGACGUCAGUCACUUGUCGACAUUGAUGACGUUAGGGAUAAGGCAUUCUCGACGUUGUCUCGUUUACGCAUUGGAAAUUGCUCCCCCGAUGUAAUACGUCGGAAUGUCUGACAUUGGAAGAGGUUCUGACGCGUUUUUAUACAAAGGACAACGAUUUAUGUUAUUGGGAGUUCCACAAAUCCUUGUAGUGUAAUUCUUUUUUAUGUUAAAGGAUUUAAAGAGACAUUAUGAAAUCAAAAUUCAUAACUAACCAAAAUUAAUCUUGAAAAUUAAAAGAGUUCUCGAACAUAUAUACUAUAUUCGAUUCCGAAAGCUAAUAUAUGAUUUUGUGCCUAAAAAAAGAUCAAAUCAAAGCAUGCCAAGGGAAACUAAUAAUAAAAUAAAAAUACCUGAGAAAGAAAUUUCAUUUGUUUAAUCUCCGAGAGACUUACACCCGUUUGUGUCGAUGCUCUUCUUUUAAUGAUAUCUUCUUGUUCUUCCUAAAACAAAUUCUUAAACUUAACCAUCAAAAUAAUAAUUUAUUUCAUAAUAAUAAAAUUAUUAAAAAAAACACUAGAUUACUAUGCUAUACAUCCACUUUGUGAUCAUAUGUUCAUAGUAUUAAAUUUUUGGGUUCCAUCCACAUGUUGUUAUUUUUACAUUUUAAUAAUCAUGAGAUGUGAAUCAAUAUGGUAGAAUGAUACCUAGAACUUAAGAAAAUAAAAGAAAAUAAACAUCAACAUGUCACUUAUGUUAAAUAUAAUAUAAAUAAUAAUAAACAUGCUUAUUGGUAUGGUUUAAAUAUCAUAAUAUGCUUAUUUAUAAAUUUAAAUUUAUUUUUUAUUCUUUUGCUUUUAUAAUUUUGUAAGGAACAUUCAUCCCGCGUCAACACUUUAAUGAUACACUUUCAUUCAUAUUUUUAUAAAAGUAACGUUUAAUAUUGAUUUUUUUUUUUCAAACAACCAAUAUAACUAUGUUUUUCUUUUUUGAAAAAACAGGAGGGACGAAAAACGGUAGAUACACUAGGAUAUCUCAACUAGAUUGACACAUUCAUAGUAUCUUUAUCCAUGUAUCUCGAAAUCAAAAUAGCAUACCUUUAGAUUUCAAUAUCUACGGUCUAAACCUUGAUGAUAUAUAUCUUAAAUAAGUUUCAUUUAUAUCUCAUAUACAUUAUUAUGCAAUAAUUUAAACAUAUAAGUUAGAAAAUUGGAGAAGAGUCUAACCUUGGCCUUUUGAAAUAUAUGUGGAUUAUCUGUAAGAAACAAAACUGCCCACAUUGAAGUGAAAGCUGAAGUCUCUUGGCCUCCAAAUAGCAUACUAAAAAUCAUCUCUGUAAUGGUCUCAUCAUCAAAUCCUUCACCAUCCUCAUCUCUCACUUCCAUCAACAAAUCCAUCAUAUCUUUUGCUUCCCAAUUUUCCCCUUUGCUUUUCUUCACUGUUCUCUUCUCAUCCAGAAUUGAUUGAAGUAUUUCAUGCAAUCCUUUUCUAGCCUAUAUAUAAUUUAUACAUUUCUUUUCGUUAUAUCAUAUGACGAUAUUGUACAAUAUUUUCGUAAAGUAGAUUGAUUGAAAAUAUGUCACAUAUAUAUUAAAAGUGAGACUAUAUGUCACAUUUGUAUUAGAAAUGAUUUUUGUUCUUACCAGGAGUGCUUUAUGGAAGGAGAAGCCAGGAAAGUUGAUUGGCAUAGUGAAGAACCCAAGUACAAUAUCAUCAUUAAAAGUCUCCAUUUCUCUUAUAGAAGUGCUUUUUAUUGGAGUUGAACCCAUAAAAAUGUUCCAAAUGACUUUGAAGGUAAGUUGCUUUAUCGUUGUUAACAACUCCAAUGGCUUCUCCAUGCUUGACCAUUCCUCCAACCCACUAAUCACUGUGCGUUCAAUAUGAUCAAUGUACAUCUCAAGUGCGGCGUGGCUGCUGAUCGGUGUCGUUAUUAGCCGUCGGAGCUUCCGAUGCUCCUCCUUCGUGACUGCAUGCAGUGAUUUUUUACCAAAUAAGGUUUUCAUGGUUGUGGGAUAACCAGGAAUGAACUUAGCUUCAUCCGUUAAUACUUGACGACAUAAUUCAGGUUUGCAGACAAUUAUAGUUGGUUUUCCAAAU
rnacentral:lncRNA from 1 species